rnacentral:lncRNA from 1 species
AAUCUCAAGUGGCUGCGAAUAUUUGAUUGUGAUGACAUGGAAGAAAUAAUCAGUGUUGAAAAUUUUGAAAAAUUGAGUGAAGUUUCAGAGAUGAUGGGAGAGCUUAACUUGUUCUCGGAACUCGAAUCUCUGAAUCUAGGAUAUGCAAGUAAUUUGAAGCGCAUCUACCGCGAUCCCUUGCCCUUUCCACAGCUGGAGCAAAUUUACAUAUCGAAAUGCCCAAAGUUGAAGAAGCUCCCGCUCAAUUCCAGCAGCGCAAAGGGACGUAAAAUUGUCAUUUACGGGGAGAAAGAAUGGUGGGAAGAGCUACAAUGGGAGGAUCAAGCCACUCAAAGUGCUUUCUCUCCCUGUUUGGCUGUUUCGUGCCUUCAUGAAUAAUAAAGUGCAAUAAGGCGCAAAAGUGUGAAUAAAGUUUCUGCGUGUGCUUAAUGAUUAUCUUGUCUAUCCAUUUCAUUUAAUUUAAAAGCUUUCUACGGUGUUGCGUGUGUGUCACUUGUCAUUCUUCUGCACUGCUGUUUCCUAUUUCCAGUUAAUAAAAUUUUUUUGUUCUUAGAAAUGCUUUGCUGGUAAUAUAUUCUAUUUACUUUCCUCCUAUUUUCAUUACAGCUAAUAAUUGCAUAGUUGUAUAAUUUUUUAAUAUUAUCUUUAUUUUUAAAUAUACUUUUAUUUAUAUUUAUUAUAAAUUAAAUAAAUGUAUGAAUAGAAAUUAAAAUGAAAACUAAGUAUUAAAACAAGAAAUAUAUAUUUUGAUUUGAAUAAAAAUAUAAAUAUUUGUUUGUACUUUUUUAUAUAUAUAUUCAAUAUAAGAAAAUAUUUAUAAAAUAAAAAGUGUAAGAAAAAUAUCUUAUUAUUAAUUCUUAUUCACAUCAAAACAUAUAUUUCUUACUUUAAAUACUUAAUUUUUUAUUCAAAUUAUCAUUCAUAUGAUUUAUUUAAUUUAUAAUACAUAUAAAUAAAAAUAAUAUUGUAAAUUAUGUUGUUAGAAAUUAUUAGUUAUUAUAAAAAUAAUAUGGGACAAAUGGUAAAUCGGAGAUAUUGUUUCCUAUUUUCAGCUAAAAAAUUUAUUUGUUCUAAUAAUUGCUUUGCUAGUAAUAAGGCCUGCAAGUUGCUUAACUGAAUAUGACUUCUUUUUUAAAAAUGUUACUAUCAAUUUCGAUGAUUGAUUAUCUCGAAGUAGUGAAAUUUAUGUAAUGUUGGUAUUAAAAAAAUUUGUGCUACUGAUAAAAAAAGUCCAUUGGAUUCGGCCUAAAUGACGGAUCGUGGCUUGAUUUUCUCAUCCCAAAGGCUCUGUAUCUCACUUUCGAAAGUAGUUUUAGCAUAAUGUAGGUGAAAAAUUAAAAUAUUCUGCGAUCUCUAUAUAGCUUUUCCAACAGAUUUCACCCAUUUGACUGUAGACCAAAGCAUCCAUUGGAUCGAUGCAUUUAUUAAGAAGAGGAUCAUUCGGAGCUACAAUUGGAGGAUCGAGUCACGCAAAGAGUUUUCUCUACUUGUUUCGAUCCUAUGGAGAUAGAGUUUUCAUAGAUUGAUGGUAGGAGCUUUUUUGUCAAUUUAUGUAUCUAAUUGUGUGUAACAUGCUUUCUUGUCUUUCAUAUCAGACAUUGUAAAUUUGUAAUGUUGCCAUUUUCUUUUUCCUAUCAAGAAAGAAAGAGCAUUGCGAGUAGUCUUUCCAAUUUUCACUCCUUUUUGGUAUGUGAAGAAAAAUAAUAAAGCAAAACAAACUAGUGUUGAAGAAAAAGAAAAUGACAAGUUCAAUAGGGCAAAAGUUCACCAUCCCUUUACCAUUUGCUCAAGCAAGUAAGCUUUACGUUUACUUCUUGAGAUUUGAACUAACCAGACAACUUGUAAUGUUACCAUAAAGUUCAAAGAUUAGAAGAGAAAAACUUAUGUCUGUUAGGCACUAUUAUUCAGGCUUAAAUAAUAACAAUAAAAUACUACACCAUGUCUGCUCUCUUUUACUUUUCUUGGUUCUGUUGUAAAAUUCAGUUCUAUUUGAAGGAAAUUAUUAACAUCAAAACUAAAUACUUCGUGAGCAUCUACUGACAACAUACUCCAGAUGACACCAUAACCAUAUCAUAUAAAGCAAGAAAUGUGAAAUAAAUACAAAAUGAAUCAUAGGAGGGAAUUACCACACUCUGCGGUCUCUCCUGCUAAACCCUGCAGUUAGAAUGCCAUUUGUCGUGAGCACCUGAAUCCCCAAAGGACUCCCAGCUUCAAGUGGCUUUGACUUAGCUUGCUUUAGCUCCAUUGCACAUACUCACUCACAUGAAGGAAAUGAACAGAACAAGAAACCUCAUCAUGCCGAAUAUGAUAGAUAUGACAAGGCAUUACACUGUAGGAAGCUCCCGAUUUCUCUACAAAACUCUGCAGGUUCUCCACAAUCAAGGCGUGCUCCAUCUUUAACAGAUCACUUCUACCAUUAAGAGAAGGAAGAGAGUUCCUCUCGUGUGGCAGUAAAUCCUUACUUAACACAGGAUUGAAGCCAACCAAGAACGGAAGGCAAUUUCGUUAGAUUAAGAACCGAAUCACCAUCCAAUAUAGUAGCAUUUGAACCAGAACUCUUGUUAAAUUCUUGAAAUCUCCUGCUUUCAUCAGUCUGUAAGAGAAAUGAAGAUGAGAAUAAUAGCCAGAACCGGAUUAAAUUCAAUCUGGUCUUUUGAAGACUUCUAUAACAACUAAGAGAACCCAGUGUACCGCCUACAGAUACUGUCAGGCUUCUAUCAAAUAUCCCAAACACCAAAAACCAACCCAAUUAAGCUAACAAACCUGCAUGAAUAUCUAAAUUUCAAUGCACGUGAAACAAACUCCGUGUUCAAUCCACCAAAACUAGCAAAUUUCAAACUUUAUCACUCAUCAUUCUCUCUCUGUCAGCUGUAUGAGGCUAUGAGAUCAUGUUAUAAUGUUCAUAUUGAUGCUGAAUGUUUUGCCAGCUUGUCUGAAUUCCAUAAGAGAAUGCAAUGUGCACAUUAUUGUGCCUUGCCCACCAUUAGAUUCUAAACCACAAAAUCAUUGUGUGAAGUAGCUGACGUUUCGCACAUUCUUAUCCCUUAUCAUCAAUAUUCUUCUCCUCAAGCUUAGAUCAUGGAAAUUUGAGUGACAAACAUGAUAACAUGGUAACACCAUCUAAACUUUAGGGGCAUAAAGUAACAUAGAAGCAACAUGGGAUGUUUUAAAAUCUAUUAUAAUUUGCUUAGGCCCCUGAAUAAAAUUAAAACUUGUAAUGAAAUAAAGUAGCAAAAUAAAGAUUGGAGGUCGCAUGCUUGAUAUUUGAUGCUGUCAAAAUUAAUUUGCAGUGCUGAAAUUGCUGCUCCAAUAAAUUUUUCAAUGGGAUUUCUAUAUUUACAACAAAUUUUCAGUAUUGAAACAGGAUUAAAAUCAUAAAGUAUCUUUUAAACAGCAGAGGCAACAAGAUCCUACAGAAAAAGAAGGCAAAAAGUAGUUACAAGCUACAGAAACGCAAAUAUUCUACUGGCCAACUCCCACUAAAUUCGAAGCAAUUCUAAAAUCUCAGCUUGUACUACGACAUCAUUCCUUCUAUGUGGCCCAACUGUACUUCACCCAGAAAUCACAUUUCUUCAUCAGAGAUAAUUUUACUUCUAAUAAGAGAGAAUUUUUUAUAUGCAUGGCUUUACAGUAAUGAAUAAUUUUCCUUAAAUCUUUUCUAACAGACAAGAAAGCACAAAGCACAAAAAUUGAUAUAAACAACUUUUCUCGAAGCUUUUUCAUAAGAAAACCUGAACAUGAUUGCUUCUCUUAGAAGGCCCCCUAGCUUCCUGCAAGAACCUUGUGCCCCCAAAAAAAACAAAGGAUUAUAAUUAGGCAUAAGGCUCCCAAUGUUCUUGCAGGAAUUAUGAUGAAUAUGAGAGUUUCAAAAAAGAAAAAAAAAUAUUACGACAACCUCUAGGCGGAGGAAAUCAGUUUUCUAGGAAUUCGUUAGAUUGGUGAAGUUAUAGAACCGCAGCAAUUUGCUGUAGUUUGGAAUGUUUUUGCCUUUCAUUAUAGCAUUUGAAAAGGCUCAAGGAUAUAGAAGAACCUUGGCUACAAAUUCAGGGAAGAUUUCACUUAUAAUGAGAAAUAAUCACCAUUAUUAUAUACAAUGAGAAAACAGUUAUGGAAGAAAUAGAAAGAAUUACCCGAAACGGAGGAUUUGGAAGACAAUGAGACAAAAGUAUAAAGAAGAAGAAAUUGGAGAUAUAAUGACUGCCUAUUUCUUUGAUGAACCCAUCAAAAACGGCUUGAAAAUUAAAGAAAUUGUAAAAUGCUGUAACGGAGGAAUUGAAACUGUAAAAGAUGCAAGUUAAUUCAUGGGGCUGGCCAUCUUGAUUGAUUGAACACCUAUUAGAUUUUUAAUAUUAAAGAACUCACUUUAAUGAUGUUUAAUUGGUAGUAGCCCUUUAUAGUCUUUAAACCUUUAGCAGUGCAAAGUCACAAGCUUUGUCCAGAAUCUAAGGGCGUAAGUUAUAGGCGAUGGGUGCCAUCACCUGGGCAACGACGUACAUCGCUUGGGCGACAAGCCAAUUUACUAGGCUCAUCGCAAACAGCCUUCGUCGCCUGGGCGAUGGCCAAAUCCAUCCAAUAAACUUUCAGCUCAUGUUUGAUAGUCUAAAAAAAGUAGUUAUGGUGGCCAUCACACAUCACAUUUUACUGACAAGCUGUCUUAAUUUUCAUAGAAAAUUGUUCCUACUGAUUUUCCAAUACUGGCCUAAUACUUGCAGAUUAUUAAACGAUUAUGGAAUGGCGGCGAUUUUAGACCAGUAAUUUUGUCAAUAAUUGCUAAUUCGCAAUCCCUUUACAAAUCUAAUAAUCUACUGCAUACACGCUCUUGAUGACUUGGAUUCUCAAAAAAUAACCAUUUUACGCCGCUGAAGCGCAGAAAAAUCAAUUGUUUUAUCCACUUCCAAAUAAAACUUAUUCUAGUAAAUGCGAUAAAGAAAUGUUUAUUUCAAUUUCCAACCCAGAUCUCAUAAAGAAUUUCUCACUCAAAUAAACAAAUAAAUAUCAUCUGGUAAUGGUAUGACAUUUAUUUUGAAGUAAACACUGGCCCACUAUUUUCUCAAUUUUCCAUUGUUUGAGGACACCAUUUUCUCAAUUGAAGAACAUGUUCUGGCCAAAAUUCACAAUUUUCUCCACGUGAUUUAAAGCACACAGGAUUCACACUUUUCUCCACGUGAUUUAAAAGCACACAGAAUUCUCCUGACCUUAAUUACGGAUCUUAUUAUGUUUAUUGAAAUCCAAUAUUGUAGACUCAUUGUUGUAGCUAGAAAAUCAUAUUAAUAGAGUAAAAUUUAUAAAUAAUCAAAGAAAAGAGUUCACGCUCUUACUUCAUUACUUUUAUAAUCUUAUUAGUAUAUCUACUUACAUGUCUUCAGAAAAUACAGUUUUAAGAGGAUAUUUUUAUUUUUCUUCGUAAUAAUAGAUUUAAUUUUCAUCUUUCUAAUGUUAAGUUGCAUAUUUGGAGUAAAUAAUAUUAAAUUUCAAAUUAGAUCACAGACCCCAUUUUAAUAGAUUCAAUUGGAUUUUGGACAUCUAAUUAAACAACUGGACUAAUAAAUUGCAAAUGAAUGAGAUUUAUAUGUGAUUUUAAAAUAAAAUUUGAACUCAAAUCUAUGUAUUUAAUUAAUCCAACAGGACAAAUUUAUAAUUUUCACCAACUAAAUAAAAUAUGUUAUCAGAAACUUUUGGACCAAGUCGCGCACUUCGUGGGUCUGCUACUACUUAUAGUCCAUUCUCAUUCAACUUUCACAUCUUUUAUAUUAUGUACAAAUUGGAUUAUAUUCUAAAACAGUGUUUCUAAUUGUUUAACGUUUUAUUUCUGGGUAUAUUUAGAGAUUAAAAAAUAUGGGAAACAUAAUUAAUUUUAUCAAAUAAAAAGGAGUAUUGUUCAUUUUUUCAUAAACAAUGUGUUAAAAUACUUUUGGUAUUUAAGAAGUAAAAAUUUUUAUUUUUGUUUCAUAAAAAAGCAUUCAAAAUUAUAUUAAAUAAAAUUAAAGAUUAACAAAACUGACAUCUGAAUUUCGUGCAAAUUAUAAUAAGUUUAUCUCCAGCGUGAGUAACAUUAAAGCUUGGCUAGCAUCAUCAUAUUUUAUCUCCAGCAUCAAAAUUCUGAUAACAUCAACAUCAUAAUUCCAAGGUUGUCAAAACUAAUUAUCAAAUUAAAAUCCUUUGUGAUUUAAGCUCUCUUGGACUUUUAAAAAUGUUAUGCCACCCCUUCUUUAAUAAUAGUAGUAUAUGAUUAUGAUUUAAUUAUUUUAUUUUUUUAAUUUAUCAAACACCAAUCACUUAAAUUAAACUCAAGAAAAAAAUUAGAACAUCAAAGAAUUUUAAUUGCUUCUUAUUAAGUACUAGAAUUAACUUCUCCCAAUGAUAAUUUAUUAAGCAAACCAUAAUGAUCAUCUUACACUAAAGAACCAACCCAUCUUCAAAACACAAGAAUUUAGUACAAAUAAUUAUCCCAAUAAAGUUUAACGAAAAAGAAAAGAGAUAUUUUUAUUAUUUCUUUUACUUUCUUAGUGGCUCUGCUACUACCUAUAGUCCAUUCUUAUUCAACAUACAGAUCUUUUAUAUUAUAUGCAAAUUAAAAUAUAUUCUAAAAAGUGUAUCCAACUGGUUAACAUAUUAUUUCUAUAUAAUAAUCAAUUUUAUCAAAUAAAAAGGAGUUUUGGUCAUUCAUUUGGCUCCGUUGCCACUGUUGUACGCUACAAAAGCUUUUGUCUUUGCUGACUCAGUUACUGUAAAAUGUCGUUCAGCCCCUUAUACUCUAUUUUAUUUAUAAGAAUUAUAAAAAUUUCUAAUUACCUACACUUUCAAAAUUCAAUUUAUCUCCUUACAAUCUUUUUCAUUUACUUUUUUUUGUAAGUAUUAAAAAGUUUCUAUUUACAACCACGACAUAGUAAUCAUCAUAACACACGAAUAUUUAUAAAAAUAUAAAAAUAUCACUAAAUUAAUACUAAAAAAUGUUUUCCUCUCUUGAGGAAUUAUGGUAUCUCAUUUUCGAUCACUCAUUAUCAACAAAAUUUUCAAAGAUAUGAUCAUUCAUCUUCUUUAUAAUAUCAUCUUAUAAUAAUUAAUACUUUCAUGAUUAAAAAAAUUAACAAAAUAAAGAUAAAUUCCCUUUGAAUCCAUCCCUCUCUACUAUCAUUUUCUCUUCAUUAGCAACAUUUAUCAAUAAUUGAAGCCACCAUCAGACUCAUCACACAGAGAGAGUGAGAGAGGGGAAGAAGAAACGGGAAAAAAAAAUAUAUGAGACAUUUACAAUUUUAUAGUGUGUUUAUUCAACGAGAUUCAUAUAUAGUUGCUAAGGGGUUUCAUUAGACACAGAGAGUUUAUUACACUGAAACUUUUAAUCCAGUAGUUAAGGCCUCAACAAUCAGAGUUAUUCUUAGCCUAGCAGUACUUAACAAGUGGAUAAUCAGACAAGUGGAUAUUAAUAAUGCCUUAAUGGCAUUUCAGUUGAAGAAGUUUACAUGGCACAACCUGAGGGAUUUGUGGAUCCUACUAAACCCCAACACAUCUGCAAAUUAAAAAGGACUAUAUAUGGCUUGAAGCAAGCUCUCAGGGCUUGGUUUGAUAGAUUCAAAGCUGCAAUGAUUACUCAAUGACAUUUUCAACACUCAAAAUCAGAUAAAAAAUAUCAAAAUAUUUAUAUCAUUAAACUUUUAGGCCUAAUUAACUAAUUAAAGUUCUAAAUUUUUAUUUAGGACAUUAAAAAGACCGGAUAGAUUCUAUUAGCCCAAAAAUUUUAUUUUAAUUUUAAUAUUCAUUAAAUAUUUUAAACUUAAAUCUAUUUUUUAUUUAUUUUUAGAUGUUAGAAUUGCCCACAGCGAAUCACAAUUUUAAUAUCUAAUCUAAUUUAAUCUAAUAUUUGCUCUUGAUUUGCUCUUACUUAACUAUUGUGUUGUAAAGGGAAUAGUCCACAUUUAUAAAGUGCCCACGCCACCCUUGAAAAAGUUAAUUUUGAAUCUAAAUUUGAUUUUAUUUGUAACAAUUUUGUAUUAGACUAUUAAUUUAUUUAUGAUAGUUUGUAAAAGAAGUUUGUAUCCCUUGCAUGCUGCGUUACUUACUAAUUUAAUGUAUGUGACUUUUGUAAUGGAUAUUAAUGCAAGAUAUUUUUCGAACUUUACUUUUAUUUAAAUUUUAUUUUAAUAUGAUUAACUCAAAUCGAAAAUAAAAAAAUGUAUUAAUUAUUCGGGGAUCGGGGACCCUCGGGGAUCCCCUAUUAUUAUUCGGGGAGGAGAUAGAGAUUCUCUUAAGUAAUUCUGACAGGGACGGGAAGGGGAUGAGGACAUACACAAAAUAUUGGGAAUGGUUACGGGGAGAUUGGUCCCCUCCCCUCCCCUCCCCAUUGCCAUCCCUAACUCCCUGACUAAAUAAUUUGGGAAUAUAAGGAUGCAAUAAGAGUUGAGUGGUCUUUAUUCCCAUAGCAUUAUUUUUUUCUCGCUUCAUCCGUGCUCUAUUCAAUCUUUAUGUGCCGCUUGUGUUAUGUUCCUGCAUAUCUAAUUACCUUUAGCUGCUUGUGUUAUGUUUACUUGUUUUGAUCUUAAUCUUUAAUCACUUAGCCUGAAUAAGAAAUAAUUUUUUAUAUUUGCUCUGCAAUGAUGUUAUUCGGUGUUAAUAGCUUCGUUUUGUUACUCUUUUCCGCACAGAUUCUUGAUCUCAACAGAACUUUUAUUUUGAAUAUUCUGCAUAAGGACAAUCUCAUUUAAUACCAUCAGUGAUUUUUCAUUUUUUUUCUCUUUAGUUUUAAUAUGUUUGAUAACUGUAUGGCUAAGCAAUCUAUGCAAUUUUAUCUUGUCGUAUGUUUGAGCUCAUUUUUUGUUGCAAUUCUGAAUAUUUGGUAUGAAUUAUGUGAUACCGGACAAUACUGUUAACUUGUUCAUUUCUUAAUUUUAAUAUCUUGUCAAAGUCACUAAUAGCAUUUCAUCAUGCUAUGAGUUAAACAUGGAACAAAUGACGACAUGCAGUUGUGGAAUGUGGUAGAUCUCUGGAAUUCUAUGUCCUUAUGCUUGUAGGGCAACACAAUACAUUAGUUAAAACAUUAAAGACUAUGAUGUCCGCAGAAAAUUAUAUGUCAACAUAUGCACCAGGCAUGAUGAAAUUAGCCAAAGACAGUGCUUGGAAACAAUUAACUAACUUUUGGCAUUAGGCGUAUCAAGUUCAAUUCGGUAUUUCACAAAACUUAAACUAACUUAUUCCUAAUUAUAGUGGACACAAUUAACUAACUUUGGCAACUGUUCUGAAGAGGAUGACUUCUUCAGGAUGACAUCAACUACCAGCGAUGAUACUAUCAGUAAGCUGCUUCUGCUAUCUAUUAAAUAUUACUGCUAAACGUAAUAUUGACAAUUUGUCUGUGUGCAGGCCUGUGAUAACCACUUGGAUCGGAUAAAGGACUGGGACAUCAACAAUUUGCCCAGAAACCAAUAAGAUAUCAUUGUAAUGUUUAAUUAUACAUGUAUUAGUUUCUCUUUGGAUGGUGCUCUUUGUUAUGCAAAAGUAUGGCGACUAUGUUUCAACCAGUGUAUCUAUUAUAUACACUAACUAUGAAUUACUAGAAAUUUUAUUACAUUAAUCAUUUUUAGAUAGCCACUCAUCUCAAACGAAACAAACUGGUCAGAGACACUUGACCCAACAUGCUUGUGAUCGACCUUAGAAUAAAUUUUUCUCACUCAAUAUAGACAACUUCUGUGAGGUUAAUAUUUCUUCAAAUGUCAAGAAAAGCAUUGGCCACAUAAAUGCAUACACAUGUUUUUGUUGGGAAGUUAAGCAGACGGGAACAACAUUGGACUAUAUACUCAUACACCAAACUUUAAUAAACUAAUAAAUAUAAUUUAAUAAUAAUUUAUUUCUCCUCGCUUAUGUGAGAAAAAGUCAAACCACAUAACGUAUUUAUAUUUUGUUAAGAAAUUUUACUGAUUGAACUAAUUAACACUAAUUUCUUAUCUCUCUUAACCAACGGAUAUUUUGAAGAUAGUUUUUUAUUUUCUAUAUUUUAUGUACUAAAUGAUUUUAAACCUCUAUCACGUCAUGAAUAAAUUGGAGUUUAGGUUGCUUAAAAUAAUAAUAAUAAUAAUAAUAAUAAUAAUAAUAAUAAUAAUUAAUAAAUGUAUUGAUGGAUUUCAUAAUCAUCCCACUUAGGGGUGGGCACGGUUCGGUUCGGUUCGAAAUUAAGUAGAACCGAUUUAAAUCGGUUAUUUUAUAAAAAGAACCGAAUAAGAACCAAACUCAAUAAGAACCAAACUCAAUAAGAACCGAACUCAAACGGUUCUUUUCGGAUCGGUUCGGUUCGGUUCGGUUUUUUCGGUUCUGGGUCUAUUGGGCCUAUUUUGAAUUUUUAAAUUUUUAGCCCAUUGGGCCUCAUAAAUGUAAUAAUUUUUUUCAACAAUUAAUUUAUCCUAAUUUUAUUACAAAUAUUAACAAUAAAUACAAAGUAUUCAAAACACAUUUUAUCACUAAUAUCUUACUAAUUAUUAAUAAGAUACUCCCAAAAUAUGAAAUAUUAAAAUUUCAAAAUACAUAACCAAACUCCAAUACUCCAUCUAUAUAAACAUAAUCAUAAUGUUAUAAAGAGAAAUAACACAUGUUUGAUUUGAAUAAAAUCAUGUUUGAUUUGAAUAAAAUUAUUAACACAUGUUUGAUUUGAAUAAAAUAAAAAAAUAAUUCGGUUCUUCGGUUCGGUUUUUUGGUUCAGCUAAGUGAACCGAAUACCGAACCGACAUUUCAGUUUUUUUUACAAACGGUAUAUUCGGUUUUUUUAAAAAAUAAAAACCGAACCGAAUUAAAAAAAACCGUCGGUUCGGUUUUUUUUAACAUUACGGUUUUUUUGCCCACCCCUAAUCUCACUCCUACGCCUCAAGACAAACAAGCUCACACUUCACGGAUCAGUCAAAGGAUCGGCUUUCAAGUCGUUGAAUUCACGGUGGUCAAACUAACGGAAAAACUAACGUGACGUCAAUCAGAUACGGUUUAUAAUAUAUGUAUCCUCAAUCAACGCAAAAAGUUUGAUCUGAAAAACCCUCUGCCUAAAACGCGUUUUCAGAAACGCGGUUUUGUUUUUCAAGUGGUUCCCAGAGCAUCCAUGCCAUGCUCUGUAUCAAUCAUUUCGUGCAUGUUUGGAGUUUGGCACGGCCAUUUUUACUGACUUUGUUAAGAAGUACUUAGAAGCUCAUUAGGAAAUGAUAACAAACGAAGCCUUGCGCUUUUACAUGUUACAUGCAUUAUUGGUAAGACGGUUGAUGAGUUACGUUAUAUGAACCCACAAUUAGUCGCCCAAUAGCCACCAUAUAUUAAAUAAUCAGUCAAAUUUUGAAUUGGGUAGUUAACUAAUUUCGAAUUACCGUAAGUCAUAAAUAAUGCAGGUUAGUAAGACCCGAGCCUAGGCAAAUUAAGGUCGUUAUCGCCUCUAAAUCAAGGCUGCAUAACCCAAAGUUAAGGGCACAUGUUCGAGUCCCAACUCCACAGUGUUGGAACUCUAUUAUAGUAUUAUUCCCUUUCACAUUAAAAGGAUAGGAUGGUUAUUUCUCUUACAUAUGUAGAUAGAUCAAAUAUAUCUUCUAAAUAAUAAUAGAUUUAUCAUUUUAAAGAGUUGUUUUAGAUAUGUGGAUAGAUCAAAUAAUAGACACCCUUUCCAUGAAAGGAGACUCAUUGAUUAUUGUUAAAAAAAAAAUUCGUUGAUGUUAUUAGAGAACUUGCAAUUUUUUUAUAACACUAAAUUUUUUAAUUUUUUAAGAUUUUUCUAUGAAUAGCAUGAAUUUUUUAUAGCAUUGGUAAUGAGGAUAUUAUGGACCUUUAGAUUUAAAUAUUUUAAUCUUCGCCAUUCAUUCAAUUUAGUGGAUAAAUAACUAAUUACUUAAUUUUUCAAGUUGCAUGUAGUAUAUAAGUUUAUGUAUGUAAUUCUAUUUUUAAUAAAUAAAUAAAUAAAUUUUAAAUCACUAACAAAAAAAAAUGCAAAUAUGUAUGUUAGUUUAGACGUGUACAUAAUAGAUAUGAAUUGAUAUUAUUUAAUUAUUGCACAAGACAUGCUAAUAAUGAUCUCUUUUGUCAAUAAUAAUCAGGAGAAUAAAAUGUUAAUUUCUUGAUUUUACUGGAUGGCUAAGAUCGAGUUAAGUCAAUUUUCGUUAUAUUUGUUAAUCUAAUAAUAUGUUGGCGAAAAAGAGGGAAUAUGAUUACAAACUAAGAUUGAGUUAAUUUUUUUAAUUCAGUCUUUAAAAAAUUGUACAACUGGUUUGAUAAUUGGUUAAUGAAAUUUUAAAUAACUAAAAUCAAGAUAUUAUUUUAACUAUAACUUCUAAUUUUGUACCAAACGUUGAUGAUCUUGAUGGGCGCAGAGGAUAGUUGGGUACGGUGCUGUAGUGGGCAACUAUGAGGAUAAAGUGAUGGUGACUGGAAUUGACAUAGGGGUAUACUUGGAUGAUGUUGAUUAUAGUGCGGCUGAGGCUUUAUGCUUUAGCUUAGAGUUGCUUAUCAAGAAUCUAUUAAUAACACAUUAUACUCAUACACCAAAGUUUAAUCUGAAUGAAUCAAGUAAUUCUAUGUUAAUAAAAGUUUUUAGACUUACGAUGAGGGUCUAGUUUAUAUAAAUGCAAAUAACACUGAAAUCUAAUAAUCCUUUACAAAUAAAUAUGAUUUAUUCAAUUAUCGCAAACAAUUGUUUUAUCAGAGUUAAUUACAUUAUUGCUAAACUUGUAUAAGCUUUCCUGUUUCAAGCAUAUCUACUUAAUUACAUUAUUCAUCGACAAUGUUACUUUGCUAGUAGAAGUUUUAUGUUUUCAUACCUUAAUCACUAUUUAACGCUUCGUUUUCCAAUAGUUCUAAUUCUUCAAAUUUUGGUUUUAUUCUUCCAUAAUUAUAAAUUGAUACUGAUUCGCACGACUCAAAUUAAAGUGGUUAAUUACUCUAAAAGUAUAAAUUUGGCAGUCAAUAAUUACUUAAAAAUAAUUGCAAAAAAAUUAAUAAGGAAUAGUAUAAAUUUAAAAACCGCUAAAGUUACGAGAUCCAUGCUUGAUAUUUAAAUCAUGGUCAUAAUACUCUUUCUCUCUCUCUCUCUCUCUCACACACACACACACAUAUAUAUAUAACCACUUUCAAUAUUAUGUUACUUAGUUCUUAAUUAACCGCUCUAUAAAUAAAUAUGAGAAUUAAGUACAUAUUAUGCUACAACCUUAUUGGAGUGUUCCCACUACCAUAUUAGUAGUCAACAUUAGGUCUAAACACCCACAUAAUAUUUUUGGUGAACUUGCAACCACAACCUUUAAAUUAGGGGUGGGCACGGUUCGGUUCGGUUCGAAAUUAAGUAGAACCGAUUUAAAUCGGUUAUUUUAUAAAAAGAACCGAAUAAGAACCAAACUCAAUAAGAACCGAACUCAAACGGUUCUUUUCGGAUCGGUUCGGUUCGGUUCGGUUUUUUCGGUUCUGGGUCUAUUGGGCCUAUUUUGAAUUUUUAAAUUUUUAGCCCAUUGGGCCUCAUAAAUGUAAUAAUUUUUUUCAACAAUUAAUUUAUCCUAAUUUUAUUACAAAUAUUAACAAUAAAUACAAAGUAUUCAAAACACAUUUUAUCACUAAUAUCUUACUAAUUAUUAAUAAGAUACUCCCAAAAUAUGAAAUAUUAAAAUUUCAAAAUACAUAACCAAACUCCAAUACUCCAUCUAUAUAAACAUAAUCAUAAUGUUAUAAAGAGAAAUAACACAUGUUUGAUUUGAAUAAAAUCAUGUUUGAUUUGAAUAAAAUUAUUAACACAUGUUUGAUUUGAAUAAAAUAAAAAAAUAAUUCGGUUCUUCGGUUCGGUUUUUUGGUUCAGCUAAGUGAACCGAAUACCGAACCGACAUUUCAGUUUUUUUUACAAACGGUAUAUUCGGUUUUUUUAAAAAAUAAAAACCGAACCGAAUUAAAAAAAACCGUCGGUUCGGUUUUUUUAACAUUACGGUUUUUUUGCCCACCCCUAAUCUCACUCCUACGCCUCAAGACAAACAAGCUCACACUUCACGGAUCAGUCAAAGGAUCGGCUUUCAAGUCGUUGAAUUCACGGUGGUCAAACUAACGGAAAAACUAACGUGACGUCAAUCAGAUACGGUUUAUAAUAUAUGUAUCCUCAAUCAACGCAAAAAGUUUGAUCUGAAAAACCCUCUGCCUAAAACGCGUUUUCAGAAACGCGGUUUUGUUUUUCAAGUGGUUCCCAGAGCAUCCAUGCCAUGCUCUGUAUCAAUCAUUUCGUGCAUGUUUGGAGUUUGGCACGGCCAUUUUUACUGACUUUGUUAAGAAGUACUUAGAAGCUCAUUAGGAAAUGAUAACAAACGAAGCCUUGCGCUUUUACAUGUUACAUGCAUUAUUGGUAAGACGGUUGAUGAGUUACGUUAUAUGAACCCACAAUUAGUCGCCCAAUAGCCACCAUAUAUUAAAUAAUCAGUCAAAUUUUGAAUUGGGUAGUUAACUAAUUUCGAAUUACCGUAAGUCAUAAAUAAUGCAGGUUAGUAAGACCCGAGCCUAGGCAAAUUAAGGUCGUUAUCGCCUCUAAAUCAAGGCUGCAUAACCCAAAGUUAAGGGCACAUGUUCGAGUCCCAACUCCACAGUGUUGGAACUCUAUUAUAGUAUUAUUCCCUUUCACAUUAAAAGGAUAGGAUGGUUAUUUCUCUUACAUAUGUAGAUAGAUCAAAUAUAUCUUCUAAAUAAUAAUAGAUUUAUCAUUUUAAAGAGUUGUUUUAGAUAUGUGGAUAGAUCAAAUAAUAGACACCCUUUCCAUGAAAGGAGACUCAUUGAUUAUUGUUAAAAAAAAAAUUCGUUGAUGUUAUUAGAGAACUUGCAAUUUUUUUAUAACACUAAAUUUUUUAAUUUUUUAAGAUUUUUCUAUGAAUAGCAUGAAUUUUUUAUAGCAUUGGUAAUGAGGAUAUUAUGGACCUUUAGAUUUAAAUAUUUUAAUCUUCGCCAUUCAUUCAAUUUAGUGGAUAAAUAACUAAUUACUUAAUUUUUCAAGUUGCAUGUAGUAUAUAAGUUUAUGUAUGUAAUUCUAUUUUUAAUAAUGACAAUUGAUUGUGUUAGCAUUUUGGUCAAAAAGGUGGACCCCCCCAAAAACAAACAAAAAAAAUUUAUGAUAAUAAUUAACAUUGAUAAAUAAAAAUAUUAAUAAUGGGUGUGUUAGCAUUUUGGUCCAAAGCCGAUUUGGCCUUGACAUUAAUUGGAAUUUUGGAUCUAUAAUAUGAUUUUCACCGAAAAGAUAAUUUUGCCGCUAAUUAUUUGGGUAGUCAGAUAAUAAUAACAAAAAAAUGUUAUCUCGAUCUCACCUAUAACUUGAGGAGAUAAUAAUGAUAGUCUUUCAUAAUACUCUACUGUUUAGUUUCUCUUCUUCAUUUUUUUCCCCUUUGAAGUCUUUCAACAAAAAUGGGUGGCAUCAUCUCAACCUUCUUCUCAGCGGACACAAUUCGUCCAAUUUUAUUUUACGUCGGUGGACGAGCAAAGUAUAUAUGGGGUCUUAAAGGUAAUCUCGAUGACUUGCAAACUGAAACGGAGAACUUGAUUGCGAAAAAACUAGAUCUACUGAAUAAGGUUAGGCUUGCCGAACAACAACAGCCUCGUGCCCAACGGACGAGCACGGUGAAACUCUGGUUCGAAAGGGUGGAUCGAAGUGUAACUCUUGUUGAGGGGCUGCAACAAGAAAGAGAUCAAGAGAUUGACAGAUUGUGUCUUGGAGGCUUCUGUUCCAAGGACUUGAUUUCAAGCUACGACUUCGGCAAAAAGGUGGAGAAGUUGAAGGAAGAAGUAAUCAAAUUGAGGGAAAAAGGAGAAGCAAUGAAAGAAGUUUAUGAGGGGUUACCAGAAGGUGCAGCGGUUGCAAUAGCUGUUGACCGAACAAUUGUUGGUCAAGAAUCAAUACUUGACCAAGUUUGGAGAUGCAUCACUGAUCAAAAAAAGAAUAAUGGAAUUAUUGGCUUAUAUGGUAUGGGGGGCAUCGGCAAAACUACUCUGUUAAAACAAGUCAAUAACAAAUUCUGCAGUGAGGAGCAUGAUUUUGAUGUCGUUAUCUGGUCGGUUGUAUCUAGAGAGCCAAACUUGAAGCAGAUUCAAGAGGAUAUUGGGAAAAGGAUAGGCUUCUCAACAGAUUCAUGGCAGAGAAAAAGGUUUGAAGAAAGGGCUUCAGACAUCACCAACACUUUAAAGCAUAAGAAGUUUGUAUUGUUAUUGGAUGAUAUAUGGGAGUCCGAAAUUGAUUUAACCAAAUUGGGCGUCCCUCUUCAGACACUAGAUUCUGGGUCCAGAAUAGUCUUCACAACUCGUUUUGAGGGUACUUGUGGUAAAAUGGGAGCCCAUAAGAAUCGGUACAAAGUGUUUUGUUUGGGAGAUGACGAUGCCUGGAAAUUAUUUGAGGGGGUGGUCGGGAGAUACGUUCUUAACAAGCAUCCCGACAUUCCGAAGUUAGCCGAGGAUGUGGCACGUCAGUGUCAUGGUUUGCCGCUAGCACUCAAAACAGUAGGUAAUGCCAUGGCGAGCAAAGUGUACCCUGAAGAAUGGAAAGAAGCAAUUGAGAUCCUAAGCGCAUCAGCUUCUAAAUUCGAAGAUAUGGAGAAAAAGGUGCUUUCGAGCUUAAAGUUCAGCUAUGAUAGUUUGCCGAAAGAUGAACUUCGAUCUUGUCUCCUGUACUGUUGCUUAUUUCCCGAAGACUCUGAAAUUCUAAAAACCGAGUUGAUAGAGUAUUGGAAAAGUGAAGGAUUUGUGCAUUCUAGCAGCGGGUGGGGGGUUCUUGGUGCUCUCGUUCGUGCAUGCUUAUUGGAGGAAGCAGGUGAUCGUGUAAAAAUGCACGAUAUGAUCCGUGACAUGGCAUUAUGGAUAGCAAAUGAAGUAGAGGAGGAGGAGGAGAACUUUUUGGUUCGUGCAGGAGUUGGAUUAACUGACGCCCCAAAGAUUGAAGAAUGGGAAGGGGUCAAAAGGAUAUCCUUGAUGCAGAACAAAAUUCAAAGUCUACCACAAAUUCCCUCUUGUCCGCGUCUGCAAACAUUGCUUCUGGCGAGUAAUCGUAUUAAGGAGAUCACUGAGAGUUUCUUUCAAUCUUUGCCUUCACUUAGAGUUUUGAGUCUAAGAAGAAAUCGUUCCCUGACUGAACUUCCUGUGGGGAUUUCAAGUCUGGUUUCAUUACACCAUCUUGAUAUGUCUUCUACUAAAGUACGUGGAUUGCCGCAAGAGCUCAAGGCAUUGGUGAAUCUGAGAUAUUUGAACUUGGAGUAUACACGUGGAAUGUCUAGAAUUCCACAGCAAUUAAUAUCAAGCUUUUCAAAGUUACAGGUACUCAGGAUGCUGCGUUGCGGUCGACGUUACCAGCCAAUAGUGGAAGAAGGCAACGUUCUAUCUGCUGAUGCUGAAUCAUUGAUGAAGGAAAUCCACUGUUUGGAACAAUUAAAUCUCAUCACCUUGUCCUUACAUGGUUCGCGUGGUGUUGAAAACUUUCUGAAAUUCCCAAAGCUGCAGAAUAUCACUCAAGCUCUGUCCAUCGAAGACUGCAACAGUCUACCGCUCAAUUUGUUACAUCUAGCAAACAUGGAGCAUCUUGAGGAGUUAUAUAUCGAGGAUAGUAAUUUGGAAGACUGGAAUGUCGACUGCGCGGGAGAGGUACAAAAAAUGCGUAAACUUCACUCGGUUCUCAUACGGAAUUGCUCAAAUGUGAAGGACUUGACGUGGCUUGUUUUUGUUCCAAAUCUCAAGUGGCUGCGAAUAGUUGGUUGUGAUGACAUGGAAGAAAUAAUCAGUGUUGAAAAAUUUGAAAAAUUGAGUGAAGUUUCAGAGAUGAUGGGAGAGCUUAACUUGUUCUCAGAACUCGAACUUCUGGUAAUAAGAAAUGCAAGUAAUUUGGAGCGCAUCUACCGCGAUCCCUUGCCCUUUCCACAGCUGAACCGAAUUAGCAUAUUGAAAUGCCCAAAGUUGAAGAAGCUCCCACUCAAUUCCAGCAGCGCAAAGGGACGUAAAAUUGCCCUUGCGGGACAGAAAGAAUGGUGGGAAGAGCUACAAUGGGAGGAUCAAGCCACUCAAAAUGCUUUCUCUCCCUGUUUCCGACCUAUUGAAGAAUAAAGUGCGAUAAGGCACAAAAGUGUGAAUAAAAUUUCUGCGCGUGCUUAAUGAUUAUCUUGUCUAUCUAUUUCAUUUAAUUUAAAAGUUUUCUACGGAGUUGCAUGUGUGUCACUUGUCAUUCUUCUGUACUGCUGUUUCCUAUUUCCAGUUAAUAAAAUUUUUUUGUUCUUAGAGUUAGAAAUGCUUUACUUGUAAGGGAGAUUCACAAUUUUCCCAUAUUAUGAUUAAUAUAUUCUUUUUACUUUCCUACUAUUUUGCAUAAUUUUUUAAUAUUAUUUUUAUUUCUAAAUAUAUUUUUAUUCAUAUUUAUUAUAAAUUAAAUAAAUGUAUGAAUAGAAAUAAAAAUAAAAAUAAAAAUUAAGUAUUAAAACAAGAAAUAUAUAUUAUGAUUUGAAUAAAAAAUAAAUAUUUUUUUGUACUUAGAAUGCCAUUUGUCGUGAGCACCUGAAUCCCCAAAGGACUCCCAGCUUCAAGUGGCUUUGACUUAGCUUGCUUUAGCUCCAUUGCACAUACUCACUCACAUGGAGGAAAUGAACAGAACAAGAAACCUCAUCAUGCCGAAUAUGAUAGAUAUGACAAGGCAUUACAUUGUAGGAAGCUCCCGAUUUCUCUAAAAAACUCUGCAGGUUCUCCGCAAUCAAGGCGUGCUCCAUCUUUAACAGAUCACUUCUACCAUUAAGAGAAGGAAGAGAGUUCCUCUCGUGUGACAGUAAAUCCUUACUUAACACAGGAUUGGAGCCAACCAAGAAGGGAAGGCAAUUUCGUUAGAUUAAGAAUCGAAUCACCAUCCAAUAUAGUAGCAUUUGAACCAGAACUCUUGUUAAAUUCUUGAAAUCUCCUGCUUUCAUCAGUCUGUAAGAGAAAUGAAGAUGAGAAUAAUAGCCAGAACCGGAUUAAAUUCAAUCUGGUCUUUUGAAGACUUCUAUAACAACUAAGAGAACCCAGUGUACCGCCUACAGAUACUGUCAGGCUUCUAUCAAAUAUCCCAAACACCAAAAACCAACCAAAUUAAGCUAACAAACCUGCAUGAAUAUCUAAAUUUCAAUGCAUAUGAAACAAACUCCAUGUUCAAUCCACCAAAACUAGCAAAUUUCAAACUUUAUCACUCAUCAUUCUCUCUCUGUCAGCUGUACGAGGCUAUGAGAUCAUGUUAUAAUGUUCAUAUUGAUGCUGAAUGUUUUGCCAGCUUGUCUGAAUUCCAUAAGAGAAUGCAAUGUGCACAUUAUUGUGCCUUGCCCACCAGUAGAUUCUAAACCACAAAAUCAUUCUGUGAAGUAGCUGACGUUUCGCACAUUCUUAUCCCUUACCAUCAAUAUUCUUCUCCUCAAGCUUAGAUCAUGGAAAUUUGAGUGAUAACACGAUCUAAACUUUAGGGGCAUAAAGUAACAUAGAAGCAACAUGGGAUGUUUUAAAAUCUAUUAUAAUUUGCUUAGGCCCCUGAAUAAAAUUAAAACUUGAAAUGAAAUAAAGUAGCAAAAUAAAGAUUGGAGGUCGCAUGCUUGAUAUUUGAUGCUGUCAAAAUUAAUUUGCAGUGCUGAAAUUGCUGCUCCAAUAAAUUUUUCAAUGGGAUUUCCAUAUUUACAACAAAUUUUCAGUAUUGAAACAGGAUUAAAAUCAUAAAGUGUCUUUUAAACAGCAGAGGCAACAAGAUCCUACAGAAAAAGAAGGCAAAAAGUAGUUACAAGCUACAGAAACGCAAAUAUUCUACUGGCCAACUCCCACUAAAUUCGAAGCGAUUCUAAAAUCUCAGCUUGUACUACUACAUCAUUCCUUCUAUGUAGCCCAACUGUACUUCACCCAGAAAUCACAUUUCUUCAUCAGAGAUAAUUUUACAUCAUUCCUUAUCAUUAGGCAUAAGGCUCCCAAUGUUCUUGGAGGAAUUAUGAUGAAUAUGAGGGUUUCAAAAAAGAAAAAAAAAUAUUAUGACAACCUCUAGGCGGAGGAAAUCAGUUUUCUAGGAAUUCGUUAGAUUGGUGAAGUUAUAGAACCUUAGCAAUUUGCUGUAGUUUGGAAUGUUUUUGCCUUUCAUUAUAGCAUUUGCAAAGGCUCAAGGAUAUAGAAGAACCUUGGCUACAAAUUCAGGGAAGAUUUCACUUAUAAUGAGAAAUAAUCACCAUUAUUCUAUACAAUGAGAAAACAGUUAUGGAAGAAAUAGAAAGAAUUACCCGAAACGAAGGAUUUGGAAGACAAUGAGACAAAAGUAUAAAGAAGAAGAAAUUGGAGAUAUAAUGGCUGCCAAUUUCUUUGAUGAACCCAUCAAAAACGGCUUGAAAAUUAAAGAAAUUGUCAAAUGCUGUAACGGAGGAAUUGAAACUGUAAAAGAUGCAAGUUAAUUCAUGGGGCUGGCCAUCUUGAUUGAUUGAACACCUACACGUGACAAGUGUGCGAUAAUCGUUAUAUCUUCAAUUUUAGGCAGUUUUUCAUUUCUUUUAUUUUAAUAGUAAAAAAAUACGCCAUUUUAGAUACAAAUGCCCCUGACUAGCCCUUUUGUAAGUUACAUUGUUUGGUGCGAUAGUCCCGCACGUGCUUGACAUUUGCCGAAUAUCUUAUGCGCAUUUUUUUUCCCCUCUAACUCAUUGUGUAUGCUCAUCUUUAUGUGCGUUAUUACCUAAACUUAUAUACCAAUCAAAAUAAAUCAUAAAGUAUCAAACGCUUUUAAAUGAUUUUUAAUAUUAAAGAACUCACUUUAAUGAUGUUUAAUUGGUAGUAGCCCUUUAUAGUCUUUAAACCUUUAGCAGUGCAAAGUCACAAGCUUUGUCCAGAAUCUAAUGGCGUAGAUUAUAGGCGAUGGGUGCCAUCACCUGGGCAACGACGUACAUCGCUUGGGCGACAAGCCAAUUUACUAGGCUCAUCGCAAACAGCCUUCGUCGCCUGGGCGAUGGCCAAAUCCAUCCAAUAAACUUUCAGCUCAUGUUUGAUAGCCUAAAAAAAGUAGUUAUGGUGACCAUCACACAUCACAUUUUACUGACAAGGUGUCUUAAUUUUCAUAGAAAAUUGUUCCUACUGAUUUUCCAAUCCUGGCCUAAUACUUGCAGAUUAUUAAACGAUUAUGGAAUGGCAGCAAACCGGCGCCGCGGAGGGGGGCCGGCCCGGGGUUGUUGUGCUGAUUUGGGAGGGGUAAUAAACCCUCUGAGGCAAUUUAGCAAACAUAUUAUGUGCCAUGAUUUUAGACCAGUAAUUUUGUCAAUAAUAGCUAAUUCGCAAUCCCAUUACAAAUCUAAUAAUCUAUUGCAUACACGCUCUUGAUGACUUGGAUUCUCAAAAAAUAAUCAUUUUACGCCGCUGAGGCGCAGAAAAAUCAAUUGUGUUGUCCCUUUAUACUUUUUCAUUUGUUUUGCCCACGUCCAAAUAAAACAGAUUCUGGUAAAUGUGAUAAGGAAAUGUUUGUUUCAAUUUCCAACCCAUAUCUCAUAAAGAAUUUCUCACUCAAAUAAAUAAAUAUUAUCCGGUAAUGGUAUGACAUUUAUUUUGAAGUAAACACCGGCACGCCAUUUUCUCAUUUUUUUCAUUUUUUGAGGACACCAUUUUCUCAAUUGAAGAAUAUAUUUUGGCCAAAAUUCACAAUGUUCUCCACAUGAUUUAAAGCACACAGAAUUCACACUUGUCUCCACAUGAUUUAAAAGCACAAGGAAUUCUCUUGACCUUAAUUACGAAUCUUUUUAUGUUUAUUGAAAUCCAAUAUUGUUGACUCAUUGGUGUAGCCAGAAAAUCAUAUUAAUAUAGUAGAAUUUAUAAAUAACCAAAGAAAAAAGUUCACGCUCUUACUUUAUUACUUUUAUAAUUUUAUUAGUACAUCUACUAACAUGUCUUCAUAAAAUAUAGUUUUAAGAGGAUAUUUUUAUGGUUGUAGAUAUUUUUAUUUUUCUUCUUAAUAAUAGAUUUAAUUUUCAUCUUUCUAAUGUUAAGUUGCACAUUUGGACUAAAUCAGAUUAAAUUUCAAAUUAGAUGACAGGCCUUAUUUUAAUAGAUUCAAUUGGAUUUUGGACAUCUAAUUAAACAACUGGAUUAAUAAAUUGCAAAUGAAUGAGAUUUAUAUGUGAUUUUAAAAUAAAAUUUGAACUUAAAUCUAUGUAUUCAAUUAAUCCAACAAGACAAAUUUAUAAUUUCUACCACCUAAAUAAAAUAUGUUAUCAGAAACUUUUGGACCAAGUAGGGGCAGUUCAUCACUUCGUCGGCCUGCUACUACUUAUACUCCUUUCUCAUUCAACUUUCACAUCUUUUAUAUUAUAUACAAACUAGAUUUGUCAUGCAAGUAUUUGACAGAAGAAAUCUCAUUGGAAAUCGGACAACUUCAAGAAAUUCAUUUAUUGAAUUUGUCACAUAAUUGCUUGUCGGUUUAUAAACCAAAAAGGUAUUCCAAAUUAAAAGUGGUAGAGAGCCUAGACUUUUCUUACAACAGAUUAAGUGGUAGAAUUCCUCCUUAAUAGACUGAGCUCAAUUUUUUGAUCUGUCUUCAAGACGUCAUACAACAACUUGUCCAACCUGAUACCAAACAAAGAGCAGUUUGCCACAUUCAAUGAAGGCAGUUAUGGAGGAAAUCUGCAUCUUUGUGGUCCAACAGUUAAUAAGAGUUGCAACAAUGCGGAGGAAAUACCAGCAAUAGAAUCCAAUCGAGGAGAAGAUGAAGAUGAAUGUGCAAUUGAUAUGGUGUCAUUCAGUUGGAGUUUCGGUUCAUCAUAUGUCACAUUCAUCAUGGGGUUUUUCGCGAUACUUUGGAUAAACUCAUACUGGCGCAGAAUGUGGAUCUAUUACAAUCAUGUAUUCACUAGGCCAUACGCGUGAUGUGCUUUUCUGCUAAAACUAGUUCACAAAUGUGAUUUCAUUAAAAUUAGUCUAUACACAUCUUUCCCUUGGCUUUUGUUGGCUCCAACUCCGGACUUUUAUUCAUAUCAUUACUUUAUGUAGUUUCCCCAAAAGGCUUGUGAUGAUUAAUGCAGUUUAUAAAUUAUUACUACUACAAUAAUGAUAUAAUAAAUAAUUUUUUUUAAGUUGUAAAAGUGAGAAAUACUAAAGAGAUCUUUAUUACAUCAUUAAUGUUCGAUCAAGAAUUUCCUCAUCCGAGCUUGCAGUCUGUGGAGGAGACUGUAUCAAUGUCGAAAUUCUCCGGACCGGCACUAUUUGCUGUUUCUCCAUUGAAUAGUGCGUCUUACUACAACAAGGUGAAACACAGCCCAGUGUUCUGAUUGGGCCCAAUGCGAAAAACAUAAAACCCAAAUUUUUGUUGACUUUGGGCCUGCUCAAAUACCAUGCCCAAUUGUGUCUAGUUGUAACAAAAGCGGCGAGAUGUUCAUGCCCAAACCCGCAAGAUUGUUUUAAUAUUUAAAAUUUAACAUGAUUCUAGAAUUUUUGUUAAUAAAAAAUAAACCACCAAGAUUCUAGUGAAUAACAAAUGUAUACAUAUACACGUGCUGUGUAGACCGGGCCAAUUCUUGUGGAAUUCUCCAACAACCAUCCUGAUUCUUGAAUUGCCGCGAAAAUUCCGCAAGCGAUGAACCCUCUCUUACGCACCACUCAUUCUCUAUCACAAUGAUCAAAAUAAAGACGAGGACGGAGACUAUUAAUCACUGAGAGUGAUUUUCUCAAUAUUUGUCAAUCACUACUAAGAUUCAUUGUCAAUCAAUAAUAUCAAUUGACACAAAGAUUGAUUGUCUUUUUUUUUUUUUCGAGAAUAUCAGUGCUUGAAUACAUUAUUUGAUAUAUAUAAUUCAAUGUAAACUCAAUCAUACUCUUAAAUUAUUUUUAUAAAUUCUCAAUAUCAGUCUUUGAUUUUAAUUCGAGUUUUGAUUCAAAUUAAUGCAAGGAUACAAAAGGACUCAAGAGCUUCAUAUAUCAAUUCUAUGUUAUUAACUUAUUAUUUCGGUGUACACCACAAAUUUAUGAGUAAUUUAUUAAAAUGUCUAAACAUAUAUGAAAAAUAGUUGAUUAUUGAUUUUCACAAAUUUCAAUAUAUCAAACAUCCUAUCGAGUUAUUAAUUCCAAAGCACAUUAUUUAAGAAUCAAUGCUAGAAUAAAUUAUUUGAUAAUUUCAAACCCAAAUUUACGCUUAAAUUCUUUAAAUUAUCUCAAUCAACUUUUUUUUUUCUUAGCUGACCAUCUAUAUCAGCUAUUGGAAAAAAAAAUAGAAUUGACGACUACUUGUAUGUUGGCCUAAUUUGAAAGUCAAUCAACAUUUAUUUUCCAUGUAAUGUUAAUGAAGCAUUUCCCUCAUUGGUCCAACAUUGCAACAUGUGGAAUUUCAGGCUUACAAUUCCUCAUUAGUCAUUACAGAUACCGAAAUUGAUUGUCAGACAAUAUUGUCAUUUCAAUAUAUGCCACAAUUUUAUGAGUAAUUUACUAAAAUCUUUAAAUAUAUAAAAUUUGCAUGUGUGUAAUAAACCUGUAUUUAUAUAUAAAAUUUGCAUAUUUAAAUUGCACCUCUCCAUGCAUCAUAUAAAAUGUCAUUUCAAUGUGAUCCACACUUUUAUGAGUUAAUAACUAAAUAUUGUCACUAAAUUUUUCCUAAUUGUUGCAUGCAUUAGAUUUUUUUACGAAAAAAAAAACAUGCUACAUUAAGUGUAAAACAAUUGAGGAAAAGAUUAGAGAACACAAUGAGAAAAGAAAUUUUUUAUACAACCUUUUCAUCAAUAAAAAUCAUAUUCAUACUAAUCAAUUCUUCAUUCCUCUUGGUAUUAACAGACUCUCACAUCCUACAAAAUCUAACCCUUAUCAUCCAACUAUCUUUAUCAUUAUUUAACUCAUGAAGAAAAGAGUACUCCAUGAAGCACACAAUACUAAAAAUUCAAAUAAGUCAAAAAUAAAAAUGCAAGAAUAUUUCUAAGGAGGAUGUUGGUUAAAUAAUAAAAAACCCAAACAUAACAAAUCUUAAAUACUUAAUGUUUAUAGACUUUGAAGAAGUCAAAAGACAUUAAACAAAAUGUUGCAUAAUUAAAUAUGGAAUUAUGACAUUAAAAUUAGGCCCUAAUGGCAUUGGUGAGUGAAGAUGAAGGAACCUUCCUUCCUAUAUUAAUUAGUUGAUGUAUUUUAAGUCACUAAAGUUUAGUUGUUGGCUUAAUAAAAUAAAUGAAUGUUUCAAGACUUAUAAUUAAUUAUUAUUAAUGGUUGCAUAUUAUUGAAUUUAAAUAGAAAGAGGAAGAGACAUGUAAUUUUUUGUAAUCUAAUAAUUAUUUUCUAUUUUGUAAUGUAAUUAUUUUUUAAUCUCAACCAAUAUAUUAGAUAAUAGAGAAUAUAAAAAGAUAAGAAAUAAUGAUGUCACAAAUCUUAAAUACUUAAUGUUUACAGAGUUUGAAGAAGCGAAAAUGCACUAAACAUAAGGUUGCAUAAUUAAAUAUAGGAUUAUGGUAUUAAAAUUAGGCUCUAAUGGCAUUGUUGAGGGAAGAUGAAAGAAACUUUCUUCCUAUAUUAAUUAAUUGAUGUAUUUUAAGCCACUAAAGUUUAAUUGUUGGCAUAAUAAAAUAAAUGAAUGUUUUAAGACUUAUAAUUAAUUAUUAUUAAUGGUUACAUAUUAUUGAAUUUAAAUAGAAAGAGGAAGAGACAUGUAAUCUUUUGUAAUCUAAUAUUUAUUUUCUAUUUUUAAUAUUUUGUAAUGUAAUUAUUUUUUAAUCUCAACCAAUAUAUUAGAUAAUAGAGAAUAUAAGAAUAUGAGAAAUAAUGAUGUCACAUCACCUCUUGUAGUCCCAACUCUCUCUCUCUCUCUCUCUCUCUCUCUCUCUCUCUCUCUCUAUAUAUAUAUAUAUAUAUAUAUAUAUAUAUAUAUACAUACAUAUUAUUUUCUAAAAAGUAUUUCUAAUUGUUUAACGUUUUAUUUAUGAGUAUUUUUAAGAGUUUAAAAAAUAUGGGAAACAGAAUCAAUUUUAUCAAAUAAAAAGAAUAUUGGUCAUUUUCUUCAUAAAGAAAGUGUUAAAAUACUUUUGGUAUUUAAGAAGUAACAAUUUUUUUUUUUGUUUCAUAAAAAAAGCAUUCAAAAUUAUAUUAAAUAAAAUUAAAGAUUAACAAAACUGACGUCUGAAUUUCGUGUAAAUUAUAAUAAGUUUAUCUCCAGCAUGAAUGACAUUAUAGCGUGGCUAGCAUCAUCAAAAUUCUGGUAACAUUCCAAGGUUGUCAAACUAAUCAUCUCAAAAUGUCAUUAUACUUGUAGCGUGCGGGCAUCAUCUUUACUUUCAGCAUCAAAAUUCUUUUAUUUAAUACACUUUUAUUUUAUACAAUUUUUAUCAUAUUAAAAUCCUUUGUAAUUUAAGCUCUCUCGGACUUUUAAAAAUGUUAUGCCACCCCUUCUUUAGCAGUAAUAGUAUAUGAUUAUGAUUUAAUUAUUUUAUUUUUUAAUUUAUCAAACACCAAUCACUUAAAUUUAACCUAAGAAAAAAUUAGAACAUCAGAUAAUUUUAAUUGAUUCUUAUUAAGUACUAGAAUUAACUGCUCCCAAUGAUAAUUUAUUAAGCAAACCAUAGUGAUCAUCUUACACUAAAGAACCAACCCAUCUUCAAAACACAAGAAUUUAGUACAAAUAAUUAUCCCAAUAAAGUUUAACGAAAAAGGAAAGAGAUAUUUUUAUUAUUUCUUUUCCUUUCUUUCAUUUCAAUUUCUUGCCUCCUGAGCUCUUCUAAAAGCCAACCAAACCACUUAUUUAAAAAAAAAAAAAAGGAACCAGACAAAGCGCAAGAAAAAAAAUUAAAAAAUUCGCAGUCUACACACAUCCCAGCACCGUAUGCGUCCAAUAAUUCAUCUCCAAUAAUUGCCCCUAUAUGACCACCGGUUUGUACUUGCAUAUAUGUGAAACAGGAUAAAAUCACAAUGUGUCAUUUAAUUAGCAGAGGUAACAAGAUCCUACAGAAAAGGGUUUACAGGAAAAGAAAGGAAAAAAAAUUGUUACAACAUACAGAAACCCAAAUAUUCUACUGGCUAACCCCCAUUAAAAUUCGAAACCAUUCUUAAAUCUCAGCUUAUACUACUUCAUCAUUCCUUCUGUGUACCCCCAACUGAAUUUCUGGCAGAAAUCACAUUUCUUCGUUAGCCUCAACUCAUGCAUCUUUUACUUUUAAUCAAACAUACUUUUUUAUCUGCUGGGCUUUUUAACAAAGAAUAAUUUUCCUUAGAUCUUUUCUAAUAGACAAGAAAGCACAAAGCACAAAUAUCUAGGAAUGUUUUUGCCCUUCAUCAUAGCACUUGCAAAGGCUCCAGGGUAUAGAAGAACCUUGGCUACAAAUUCCUGGGAAGACUUCACUUAUAAUCAACUGGAAGGAUGUCACCUCUACGGGCGUUGUACAUUUUCCACUUCUACGUGGUAUCCUGCAGAAACAAACAAUAAAACACGUGUUAUACAAGUAUUUUUUAAGUAUGAAAUACAUCAAAAGCAUUUAUGAUGCCAUUAAGUUUAGUCAAUACAAUCUCUCAAGGCAGGACAAGAGAUUUGAGAUUCAAACUCCACCUACGUAGGAAAGGAAUGUCAAAAAGAAAUGCGGUUGGGAUAGGUUAUUACGUUUUAUUCUUUUUAUUACUAGAAUUGAAUAAUGCUGCCUUUGACAGUAAAAUAAACGUCAAGUGAUAAUUGAAUUAUAAAAAAGUGAGGUAAAUGGUGAGAAAUAAUCACCAUUAUAAUUUAUAAUAUAAAAUGAGGAAAUAAUUAUGGAAGAAAUGGAAAGAAUUACCUGAAAAGAGGGAUUUGGAAGACAAUGAGACAAAAAUAUAAGGAAGAAGAAAUCGAAGAUAUAAUGCCUGCCCAUUUCUUUGACGAACCUGUAAAAUGUCGUGAUUGAGGGAAUUAAACCGUAUGACGUUUAUGAAAUACUAACUAGGCAACCCAAGAGGGGGGUGAAUUGGGAUUUUAAAAAUUAUCCUAGGCAAACCACACAACAAUUUAAUCUAAUGCCUUAAUAAAUUCGAAAACAAUAAAUUCAAUAAAAGCACAAUAAUAAAUGAGUAAGGGAAGAGAAAGCAAACCCAAGGAUUUUUACGUGGUUCGGCAAUCCCCGCCUACGUCCACGCCUCCAAGCACACCGGGCUUGAGGAUUUUACUAAGCUAGCCUCCCAAGGCUUCAAACGCUUACAAUUGACUUCCAAGGUGUCAAUGGACCUUUACAACAAGAGAUUAUCCCCAAUCUCUUAACCCAAGUGUAUCCCAACACUUACAAUCUUUUAACUUGAUUUUACAAAAAAGAUUACAAAUGAAUCUCUCUCACACAAUGUGUUUGAUCACAAGUGAAAGCUCAAUGUGUGAAUGAAUGAGAUGAAUACAAAGAUUUAAAGCUCAAUGAAAGUUGUAUUCUCAAUAUUUUGCUCAAUGAUGAUCGUUGGAAUUCUUCUUGUUUGAAUUGGAUUGAGAUUAUUUAUAGUUGGAGCUGAAAAACUAGCCGUUAUAGACUGUCUGCUAGAAAACGGUUCGCCGUUAACCAUUAACGGUUAACCGUUUAGGCCGGUCAAAGUUACCGUUGGGCCAAUUUUCAAAUAAACGGUUAGCCGUUUAUUCUUACCCUUUCGCCGUUAAUUUCCAGAGACCUGCAAAACAAAUUUGGUUUAACCGUUCUUAUUAAACGGUUCAAGGUUAACAAUCUGGAAAUAAUCGGUUAACCGUUUUCAGUAAACGGUUCACCGUUAGUUUCCAGAAUCAUCAUUUUAAUAAUACUUUACAGAACAUGCUUUCUGGAAAUUAUCGGUUAGCCGUUUUAAAUAAACGGUUAGCCGUUUGCUACAGUGAUUGCUACAGUGAAAAUAUUUUCUAAAUUUAUAAUUUAACCCCAAAACUUUAUAAAACUUUAUUACGGCCCAAAACGUUAUGAAACUUUGCACAUAGGUCCAAUUUCAGAAUUUCUAAAUAAUACUUUGUUAAUCCCAAAACUUUUUGAAAUUAUGGUAUAGCCCAAAAUGUUAUGAUACUUUUCAAAUAAGUCCUUUACCAAGAUUUCAAGCAAUACUUGUUUAUUUCAAAGUUUUCAAAAUUCUUUCAAUUAAACCAUAAACUUUGAAAAACAACCAAUUUCAUAAAAUCAUUUUUCCAUUAAAUAUGAAACAUUUAUAAUGUGAAAAUAAUGAUUUAUUUAAAAAGAAUAAAAACAAUCAAUUUCAUAAAAUUAUUUUUCCAUUAAAUAUAAAACAUUUAUAAUGUGAAAAUAAUGAUUUAUUUAAAAAGAAUAUUAAAUAAUUUGAGCUUAAAAGAUUAAUCAUUCUUAAUCUUAUUUGUUAUCAUCAAAAUCAAUAUUAUGAAAAUAUAUAUGUUAACAGUUUACUUUGGCGGCCCCCAGUCUUGUCAAUCAGAGAAUAUGUUUUGGCCGAAAUUCACAAUUCUUACCACGUGAUUUAAUUAAAGCACACAGAAUUCGUAAUUUUCUCCAGACAAUUUAAAUUAAACCCGCACUCUUUAUGGACUCCACUUUUAAGAAGGAUAUUGCCCACCGAGCAAACUAACCAAAACUCUUUUCCCUUCUGCGUUCAUUCUCCAACUCGUUGUCACUUUGUUUUGCUCUUCCUCUCUAUAUGAUUUUUAAGAACUAUUAAAUGUUUGUUUGUUUCUUAAAAAAAAUGUUUGUUUUUUUUUGUAUUAGAUGAUUAUAAAUAUUUAUUUAAUUUUAUAUUUUUUUAAAUUUUUUAUUAUUGUUUCAUUAUUUUUUAGUAAAUUUUUAAAAAUUAAAUAAAUUAUUUUUAUUUCUGUUAAUAAAAAUUUAAACUUUAAAUUUUUGAGGGAUGAGAUUUAUUUUUUUUAAAUAUUAAAAUACUUAAAAUAUCUUUUAUUUAUGUAAUAAUUUUAUUUUAUUUUUUUGUUAAAUAAUUUUAAAAAAAAUUAUUUAUUAAAAUAAUUUUAUAAUUUUUAAUAAAAACUCUUAUUAUCAAUUAAAUAACUAAAAUUAUUUUCAUAAAAACUUUUAUAAUAAAAAUCCUACCACACCGCAGAGUCUGCACUUACCUGCGCGUACUGUUUAAAACCCCUCACCGGCUCUGCUCUCGCCACCAAUAUUAAGAAAGAUACUUUGUUGUGGUGGCAUUUUGGUAAAAAAUAUGGGCCCCCAAAAUAAUCAUAAUAAUUAAGGAUUUAGCUAUGUGGCAACGGGUACACCAUACACUUUUUUUUUUUUUUUUUUUGUGCUGCCACAGUUAGAUCCAACACAAAAGUAGUAUUAAGAGCAAGAUGUGUUUGUUUGUUUAUUAACAAUGCAAUCCCUAAUAUUUGUCAAAAAUUUUAAAAAGUUAAAGUUUAUAAAAUUUUGUGCCAAUAUUUUUUUCCCAAAUUCUCUUAGCACAAUUAAUUGUGUUAUGGUAUCCACUUUUGCAGGUUAUAAUCAAGAGAUCAGACAUGAUAGAUACAUAAAAAAUAAUAUAAAAUAAAAAAAUUUUGAAUUUUUGUUAAAGCUCUCAUUUCUAAUAAUUUGUUAAAAUAUUCUUUUACCUAAGAAAACAAACUCAUUGACAUAAUAAAAAGAGUUUUACUGAUAAAAUAAUAAUUAUUCAAUUAUUAGAAGUGCUACAGUUAGAUUUUUUUAAGUUGAAAAUGUAGAGAAGCAUGGAGGAGAAGAGGAGAAGAAGACACAUAAUAAAACAUAAAAAUUUUCAAUUUAUUUAUACCUGAAUUCCAUUGUAUGAUGAAUAGAUUGUAGGUACAAAAAUAUAUUUAUGUGAUUUUCUUUUAUAUAAAAAGUUCAAUUCAUUAUUGCUUAUAUGAUAUAGAGCAAAUUAAUCUUAAGGUAAUGAGAAAGUAGCUUCAAUGAGAAUGCCAAGCUUCUCUUAUUGAUUGUAAUUGAUUGAUUACAUAUUUAAUUAAAAAAAUUCAAAAGGACGUAGAGGUGAGGGUUUUGAAGAAAGAGAAAAAAGAAAUUACUUCAAUAAUUUGUAAAUACAGAAGAGAUUAGGGGGUCAAAAAAUACAAAAAGUAGGGUAUGGUGGACCCAUUGUACCGUAGCUCAACUCAAGCCAAUAAAUUAAUUGUUUUAUCCUAUAAAUAAAAAUUAAUGUUGUGUAUUUGCCUAUAACUUGAGGAGGUAAUAAAAGUCUUUCGUUAUACUCUACUGUUAGUUUCUCGCCUUUUAUUCCUCUGAAAUCUUUCAACAAAAAUGGGUGGCGUCAUCUCAACCUUCUUAUCAGCGGACACAAUUCGUCCAAUUUUAUCUUACGUUGGUGGAGAAGCUAAGUAUAUAUGGGGUCUAAAAGAUAAUCUUGAUGACUUGCAGACUCAGAAGGAGAAGUUGAUUGAGAAAAAAGAAGAUAUGCUGAAUGAGGUUGAGCUUGCUGAACAACGACCCCGAACCAGACGGACGAGAUCGGUGCAACGCUGGUUUGAAAGAGUGGAUCGAAGGGUAACUGAAGUUGAGAGGCUGCAACAAGAAAGAGAUCAAGAGAUUGACAGAUUGUGCCUUGGAGGCUUCUGUUCCAAGAACUUGAUCUCAAGCUACAGCUUCGGGAAAAGAGUGGAGAAGAUGAAGAACGAAGUGAUCGAAUUGAAGAAAGGAGGAGAAGCAAUCAAUCCACUUUAUGAGGAGGUACCAGAAGGUGCAGCGGUUGCAAUAGCUGUUGACCGAACAAUUGUCGGUCAAGAAUCAAUACUAGACCGAGUUUGGAGAUGCAUCACCGAUCAAGAACAGAAUAAGGGAAUUAUUGGCUUAUAUGGUAUGGGGGGCGUCGGCAAAACUACUCUGUUAAAGCAAGUCAAUAACAAAUUCUGCAGUGAUGAACAGCAUCAUUUUGGUGUCGUUAUCUGGUCGGUUGUGUCGAGAGAGCCAAACUUGAAGCAGAUUCAAGUGGAUAUUGGAAAAAGGAUAGGCUUCUCAACAGAUUCAUGGCAGAGAAAAAGUUUUGAAGAAAGGGCUUCAGACAUCACCAACGCUUUAAAGCAUAAGAAGUUUGUAUUGUUAUUGGAUGAUAUAUGGGAGUCCAAAAUUGAUUUAACCGAAUUGGGCGUCCCUCUUCAAAGAUUAGAUUCUGGGUCCAGAAUAGUUUUCACAACUCGUUUUCGUGGUACUUGUGGUGAAAUGGGAGCUGACGAGCGGUUCGAAGUGUCCUGUUUGGGAGAUGACGAUGCCUGGAAAUUUUUUGAGGGGGUGGUUGGGAGAUACGUUCUCGACAAGCAUCCCGACAUUCCGGAGCUAGCCAAAGCUAUGGCAAGGCAGUGUCAUGGUUUGCCGCUAGCACUCAAAACAGUAGGUAAUGCCAUGGCGAGCAAAGAGUACCCUCAAGAAUGGAGUCACGCCAUUGAGAUCAUAAGCAGAUCAGCUUCUAAAUUCAAAGAUAUGGAAAAACAGGUGCUUUCGCGUUUGAAGUUCAGCUAUGAUAGUUUGCCCACUGACGAACUUCGUUCUUGUCUCUUGUACUGUUGUUUAUUUCCGGAAGACUCUGAAAUUCCAAAAACCGACUUGAUGGAGUAUUGGAAAAGUGAAGGAUUUGUGGAUUCUAGCAGCGGGUGGGGGGUUCUUGGUGCUCUCCUUCGUGCAUGCUUAUUGGAGGAAGCAGGCUUAGUGGACGAAGGAGGUAAUCGUGUAAAAAUGCACGAUAUGAUUCGUGACAUGGCAUUAUGGAUAGCAAAUGAAAUAGAGGAGGAGGAGGAGAACUUCUUGAUUCGUGCAGGAGUUGGAUUAACUGACGCCCCAAAGAUUGAAGAAUGGGAAGGGGUCAAAAGGAUAUCCUUGAUGGAGAACAAAAUUCAAAGUCUACCACAAAUUCCCACUUGUCCGCGUCUCCAGACUUUGCUUCUAAAUCGAAAUCAUAUUGCGAAGAUCACUGACAGUUUCUUUCAAUCUUUGCCUUCGCUUAGAGUUUUGAAUCUAAGUGGAAAUCAUUACCUAACUGAACUACCUGUAGGAAUUUCAAGUUUGGUUUCAUUACACCAUCUUGAUCUGUCUUAUACUCCCCUAACUGAACUUCCUGUAGGGAUUUCAAGUUUGGUUUCAUUACACCAUCUUGAUCUGUCUUCUACUGAAGUACGUGGGUUGCCGCAAGAGCUCAAGGCAUUGGUGAAUCUGAGAUAUUUGAACUUGGAGUAUACACGUAAAAUGUCUAGAAUUCCAGAGCAAUUGAUAUCAAGCUUUCCAAAGUUACAGGUGCUCAGGAUGCUGAGUUGCGGUUCUGAGAUAUUUCCAAUAGUGGAAGAAGGCAACGUUCUAUCCGAUGGUGCUGAACCAUUGAUUAAGGAAAUCCACUGUUUGGAACAAUUAAAUCUCAUCACCUUGUCCUUACGUGGUACGCGUGGUGUUGAAAACUUUUUGAAAUUCCCAAAGCUGCAGAAUAUCACUCAAGCUCUGUCCAUCGAACACUGCAACAGUCUACCGCUCAAUUUGUUGCAUCUAUCAAACAUGGAGCAUCUUGAGAAGCUACACAUCGAGGAAAGUAAUUUGGAAGACUGGAAUGUCGACUGCGCAGGCGAGGUACAAAAAAUGCGUAAACUUCACUUUGUUACAAUAUACGAAUGCUCAAAUGUGAAGGACUUUACGUGGCUUGUUUUUGUUCCAAAUCUCAAGUGGCUACGAAUAUGUUAUUGUGAUGACAUGGAAGAAAUAAUCAGUGUUGAAAAAUUGAGUGAAGUUUCGGAGAUGAUGGGAGAGCUUAACUUGUUCUCAGAACUCGAACUUCUGGUAAUAAGAAAUGCAAGUAAUUUGGAGCGCAUCUACCGCGUUCCCUUGCCCUUUCCACAGCUGAAGGUAAUUGACAUAUCGGAAUGCCCAAAGUUGAAGAAGCUCCCGCUCAAUUCCAGCAGCGCAAAGGGACGUAAAAUUGUCAUUUACGGGGAGAAAGAAUGGUGGGAAGAGCUACAAUGGGAGGAUCAAGCCACUCAAAAUGCUUUCUCUCCCUGUUUCCUACCUGAUGAAUAAUAAAGUGCAAUAAGGCGCAAAAGUGUGAAUAAAAUUUCUGCGUGUGCUUAAUGUUAGGCACUAUUAUUCAGGCUUAAAUAAUAACAAUAAAAUACUACACCGUGUCUGCUUUCUUUUACUUUUCUUGGUUCUGUUGUAAAAUUCAGUUCUAUUUGAAGGAAAUUAUUAACAUCAAAACUAAAUACUUCGUGAGCAUCUACUGACAACAUACUCCAGAUGACACCAUAACCAUAUCAUAUAAAGCAAGAAAUGUGAAAUAAAUACAAAAUGAAUCACAGGAGGAAAUCACCACACUCUGCGGUCUCUCCUGCUAAACCCUGCAGUUAGAAUGCCAUUUGUCGUGAGCACCUGAAUCCCCAAAGGACUCCCAGCUUCAAGUGGCUUUGACUUAGCUUGCUUUAGCUCCAUUGCACAUACUCACUCACAUGGAGGAAAUGAACAGAACAAGAAACCUCAUCAAGCCGAAUAUGAUAGAUAUGACAAGGCAUUACACUGUAGGAAGCUCCCGAUUUCUCUAAAAAACUUUGCAGGUUCUCCGCAAUCAAGGCGUGCUCCAUCUUUAACAGAUCACUUCUACCAUUAAGAGAAGGGAGAGAGUUCCUCUCGUGUGACAGUAAAUCCUUACUUAACACAGGAUUGGAGCCAACCAAGAAGGGAAGGCAAUUUCGUUAGAUUAAGAACCGAAUCACCAUCCAAAAUAGUAGCAUUUGAACCAGAACUCUUGUUAAAUUCUUGAAAUCUCCUGCUUUCAUCAGUCUGUAAGAGAAAUGAAGAUGAGAAUAAUAGCCAGAACCGGAUUAAAUUCAAUCUGGUCUUUUGAAGACUUCUAUAACAACUAAGAGAACCCAGUGUACCGCCUACAGAUACUGUCAGGCUUCUAUCAAAUAUCCCAAACACCAAAAACAAACCAAAUUAAGCUAACAAACCUGCAUGAAUAUCUAAAUUUCAAUGCACAUGAAACAAACUCCGUCUUCAAUCCACCAAAACUAGCAAAUUUCAAACUUUAUCCCUCAUCACUCUCUCUCUGUCAGCUGUAUGAGGCUACGAGAUCAUGUUAUAAUGUUCAUAUUGAUGCUGAAUGUUUUGCCAGCUUGUCUGAAUUCCAUAAGAGAAUGCAAUUUGCACAUUAUUGUGCCUUGCCCACCAUUAGAUUCUAAACCACAAAAUCAUUGUGUGAGUAGCUGACGUUUCGCACAUUCUUAUCCCUUAUCAUCAAUAUUCUUCUCCUCAAGCUUAGAUCAUGGAAAUUUGAGUGACAAACAUGAUAACAUGGUAACACCAUCUAAACUUUAGGGGCAUAAAGUAACAUAGAAGCAACAUGGGAUGUUUUAAAAUCUAUUAUAAUUUGCUUAGGCCCCUGAAUAAAAUUAAAACUUGAAAUGAAAUAAAGUAGCAAAAUAAAGAUUGGAGGUCGCAUGCUUGAUAUUUGAUGCUGUCAAAAUUAAUUUGCAGUGCUGAAAUUGCUGCUCCAAUAAAUUUUUCAAUGGGAUUUCUAUAUUUACAACAAAUUUUCAGUAUUGAAACAGGAUUAAAAUCAUAAAGUGUCUUUUAAACAGCAGAGGCAACAAGAUCCUACAGAAAAAGAAGGCAAAAAGUAGUUACAAGCUACAGAAACGCAAAUAUUCUACUGGCCCACUCCCACUAAAUUCGAAGCGAUUCUAAAAUCUCAGCUUGUACUACUACAUCAUUCCUUCUAUGUGGCCCAACUGUACUUCACCCAGAAAUCACAUUUCUUCAUCAGAGAUAAUUUUACUUCUAAUCAGAGAUUAUUUUUUAUAUGCAUGGCUUUACAGUAAUGAAUAAUUUUCCUUAAAUCUUUUCUAACAGACAAGAAAGCACAAAGCACAAAAAUUCAUAUAAACAACUUUUCUCGAAGCUUUUUCAUAAGAAAACCUGAACAUGAUUGCUUCUCUUAGAAGGCCCCCUAGCUUCCUGCAAGAACCUGGUGUUCCAAAAAAAAAUGAUUAUAAUUAGGCAUAAGGUCCUAAUGUUCUUGCAGGAAUUAUGAUGAAUAUCAGGGUUUCAAAAAAAAAAAAAUUAAGACAACGAUUACGGAUUUAAAGCACACAGAAUUUACACUUUUCUCCAUGUGAUUUAAAAGCACACAGAAUUCUCCUGACCUUAAUUGAAAUCCAAUAUUGUAGACUCAUUGUUGUAGCUAGAAAAUCAUAUUAAUAGAGUAAAAUUUAUAAAUAAUCAAAGAAAAGAGUUCACGCUCUUACUUCAUUACUUUUAUAAUCUUAUUAGUAUAUCAACUUACAUGUCUUCAGAAAAUACAGUUUUAAGGGGAUAUUUUUAUGGUUGUAGAUAUUUUUAUUUUUCUUCUUAAUAAUAGAUUUAAUUUUCAUAUUUCUAAUGUUAAGUUGCAGAUUUGGACUAAAUCAGAUUAAAUUUCAAAUUAGAUCACCGACCUUAUUUUAAUAGGUUCAAUUGGAUUUUGGACAUCUAAUUAAACAACUGGAAUAAUAAAUUGCAAAUGAAUGAGAUUUAUAUGUGAUUUUAAAAUAAAAUUUGAACUCAAAUCUAUGUAUUCAAUUAAUCCAACAGGACAAAUUUAUAAUUUCCACCAACUAAAUAAAAUAUGUUAUCAGAAACUUUUGGAUCAAGUCGGGGCAGUGUAUUACUUCGUGGGUCUGCUACUACUUAUAGUCCAUUCUCAUUUCAACUUUCACAUCUUUUAUAUUAUGUACAAAUUGGAUUAUAUUCUAAAAAAGUGUUUCUAAUUGUUUAACGUUUUAUUUCUGGGUAUAUUUAGAGAUUAAAAAAUAUGGGAAACAUAAUCAAUUUUAUCAAAUAAAAAGGAGUAUUGUUCAUUUUUUCAUAAACAAUGUGUUAAAAUACUUUUGGUUUUUAAGAAGUAACAAUUUUUAUUUUCAUAAAAUAGCAUUCAAAAUUAUAUUAAAUAAAAUUAAAGAUUAACAAAACUGACAUCUGAAUUUCGUGUAAAUUAUAAUAAGUUUGUCUCCAGCAUGAGUAACAUUAAAGCUUGGCUAGCAUCAUCAUAUUUUAUCUCCAGCAUCAAAAUUCUGAUAACAUCAACAUCAUAAUUCCAAGGUUGUCAAACUAAUCAUCUCAAAAUGUCAUUAUACUUAUAGCGUGCUGGCAUUAUCUUUACUUUCUGCAUCAAAAUUCUUUUAUUUAAUACACUUUUAUUUCAUACAAUUUUUUAUCAAAUUAAGAUCCUUUGUGAUCUAAACUCUCUUGAACUUUUAAAAAUCUUAUGCCACCUCUUCUUUAGUAAUAGUAAUAGUAAUAAUAUGAUUAUGAUUUAAUUAUUUUAUUUUUUAAUUUAUCAAACACCAAUCACUUAAAUUUAACUCAAGAAAAAAUUAGAACAUCAAAGAAUUUUAAUUGCUUCUUAUUAAGUACUAGAAUUAACUUCUCCCAAUGAUAAUUUAUUAAGCAGACCAUAAUGAUCAUCUUACGCUAAAGAACCAACCCAUCUUCAAAACACAAGAAUUUAGUACAAAUAAUUAUCCCAAUAAAGUUUAACGAAAAAGCAAAGAGAUAUUUUUAUUAUUUCUUUUACUUUCCUAGUGGCUCUGCUACUACCUAUAGGCUAUAGUCCAUUCUUAUUCAACAUUCAGAUCUUUUAUAUUAUAUGCAAAUUAAAAUAUAUUCUAAAAAGUGUAUCCAACUGGUUAACAUAUUAUUUCUAGAUAAUAAUCAAUUUUAUCAAAUAAAAAAGAGUUUUUGGUCAUUCAUUUGGCUCCGUUGCCACUUGUACGUUACAAAAGCUUUUGUCUAUGCUGACUCAGUUACUGUAAAAUGUCGUUCAGCCCCUUAUACUCUAUGUUAUUUAUAAUUUAUUUAUAAGAAUUAUGAAAAUUUCUACUUACCUACACUAUCAAAAUUCAAUUUAUCUCCUCACAAUCUUUUUCAUUUACUAUUUUUUUCUAAGUAUUAAAAGAGUUCUAUUUACAACCACGACAUAUUAAUCAUCAUAACACACAAAUAUUAAUAAAAAGAUAAAAAUAUCCUUAAAUUAAUACUAAAAAUGCUUUCCUCUCUUCUUUAUAAUAUCAUAUUAUAAUAAUUAAUACUUUCAUGAUAAAAGAAUUAAAAAAAUAAAAAUAAAUUCCCUUUGAAUCCAUCCCUCUCUAAUAUCAUUUUCUCUUCAUUAGGAACAUUUAUCGACAAUUGAAGCCACCAUCAGACUCAUCACACAGAGAGAGUGAGAGAGGGGAAGAAGAAACAGAGAAAAAAUAUAUGAGACAUUUACAAUUUUAUAGUGUGUUUAUUCAACGGGAUUUAUAUAUAGUUGCUAAGGGGUUUCAUCAGACACAAGGAGUUGAUUACACUGAAACUUUUAGUCUAGUAGUUAAGGCUUCAACAGUCAAAGUUAUUCUUAGCCUAACAGUACUUAACAAGUGAAUAAGCAGACAAGUGGAUGUUAAUAAUGUCUUCCCCUAGCAGUACUUAACAAAUGAAUAAUCAGACAAGUGGAUGUUAACAAUGCCUUCCUUAAUGGCAUUUCAGUUGAAGAAGUUUACAUGGCACAACCUGAGGGGUUUGUGGAUCCUACUAAACCCCAACACAUCUGCAAAUUAAAAAGGACUAUAUAUGGCUUGAAGCAAGCUCCCAGGCUUGGUUUGACAAAUUCAAAGCUGCAAUGAUUACUCAAUGGCAUUUUCAACACUCAAAAUCAGAUAAGUCUCUCUUCUAUAAAUGGAUCAAUGGUCAUGUAAUUCUAGUUCUGGUUUAUGUUGAUGAUAUCAUACUCACUGGUUCAAAUUCUUACUUAAUUCAGCCAGUCAUUCAAGACAUGCAUCACACCUUUGCUUUAAAAGACUUGGGAGCUCUUAACUAUUCUCUAAGAAUUGAAGUGGUUAAAUUAGCAAAUGGCAUUUAUCUGUCUCAAGCAAAAUAUAUUGCUAAUAUAUUGGCAAACAUGAUAUGGUUCACUGCAGUCCAUUACAUAUUCCUAUGUCUACCAGUCACUACCUCACAAAAGAUUCAAGUGACAUUAUUGCAAAUGUGUCUCAGUACAGAAGUAUCUUAGGUGCAUUGCAAUAUGUUACUCUUACAAGGCUUGACAUAACAUAUAUAGUUAAUAAACUAAGUUAGUUUUUAUUUAGUCCUCGAACACAACAUUGGGAGGCUCGCAAAAGGUUGCUAAGGUACUUAAAAAGAAUUUUACAUCUUCGAUUGCAUUAUUACACAAAUGGAGCUAUGCAGAUACAUUAUUUCAUAGAUUCUAAUUGGGCAUGUGAUAGGGAUGACAGGAAAUCACUUGCUAGUUUUGCAGUCUAUCUAGGUCCCAAUUUAGUCUCAUGGUCAUCCAAGAAACAAGCAGUGGUAUCAAGGUCAAGUAUAGAAGCAGAAUAUAGAGCAUUAGCUCAUGCUACUUCAGAGGUCAUGUGGAUACAAUCUCUUCUUAGUGAGUUGCAAAUUAAACUUAGCACCACUCCCAUAAUAUGGUGUGAUAAUCAAGAAGCUAUUGCCUUAGCAUACAAUCCAUUUUAUUAUGCCAAAACCAAACAUGUUGAGCUAGAUAUACACUUCAUUCGAGACAAAGUUGUAGCUAAGAGCAUUGAGGUUAGUUAUGUGCCCAGUGAAGGUCAACCAACUGAUGUAUUAACCAAAGCUCUCACUUUUAAGCAGUUUCAUUGCUUGUGAAGCAAGCUGAAUGUCUAUCCUGGACAUUUUAGCUUGAGGAGGGAUGUUAGUGAUAUUGAAUUUCAAGCAAAGCAGAGCACAAAAUCAUUAUAUGACUGACCACAACUGAUUCACUCAUUAAGCUAACUUGGCAAGUUAGUUAUACAGCUCACCUCACAUGUAUCAAAUUUCGCGUGUGUAUAACAGAUUGUAUGAAUCAUUUAGCUUGCUAUAUAAAUAUGUAAUGUGUACUCAGUUUUCAAUUAGUUAAUUACAAAGGAAUCUUAUAUUUGCUUCUAUACAAAUUCUCUUUACUUUUCUUUCAUUUUCUUGCCAAACAACACUUUCUUUAGAAUUCUUUCAUGAAAGGCAAUGAGACAAAAAUGUAAAGAAGAAGAAAUUGAAGAUAGGGUAGGGCUAUUGGCUCUCUAAAAUUUAUUUUGGACAUUGAUGUGAUCUUUAAAAAAAAAUUACAUAAUUUUAUUCUUAGGUUAUGUUUAUCUCUUUGAGUUGUUAUCAUAGUUCAUUUUGAUUAAAUAAAAGUAGUUGUUGUAUUAACAUAAUUCUAAUGAACAUAGGUUUUAUUGUGCUUUUAAUCUUUAGGUCCAACUUCUGUAAGAUAGUAUUUAAACCAGCAUCAAUGUCAAUAAUAGCAGGCUGAAAUGUUUCUUUUGGAGACUGAAUAGUUGUAUUGGGAGAUAUGUCCCUCAAAGUACCAAAAACAUAUUUAUUAAAGCUUAGUUUCCUUGAAUUUGCCCAUUUAUCACUUGUUCUUUUUAUUUUGUUUGAUUUCCUGUUGUAAUAAUUUGUGUCUGUAAGACUAUAACAGACACUCACAUUUUAAUAGUUCUUUAUAUCACUAAAUUAACCUUAAUGUAAAAUUAACCGUAAUGUAAUUUACUAUUAAGGACAAUUUAAUAAAAUAUAGUUCAAUAAAUUUUUAUCCAACAUCUUAUUUUAUCUACAAUAAACUAGAUAAACAAUGAAGAAAUGAAUAAAAGUUCACGUGAAAACGAUGUCUAUACUUAUGGGCUAAACCUUUUUUUUUCAGUUUUUUUGUUAAUAGAAUUGUUAGGAAAACAUCAUGUAACACGUUCCAUCUUUUGUAACAAAAGGAAUUAAAAACAGAGGUGGAGGAAGAACAAUAAAUUGCACCACUACAACAUAUGAAAAACGAAAGAAAUCAAAGGAUAAAAUCUGUUUCAAAUUUGUUUUCUGAUCUUCACUCAAUCUAAUCUGCAUGCUUUCAUGGAUUUGAAAAACAAAAUUGAAUUGCGACAUUAAAGAGAAGAACAAACAUAUGUCAAACCAUAUUAUGAAAGCAAAAUAAAAGUUGAUAAAAAAUGAAAAAAAGUUCAAACAUUUUGUUUGUGAUGAUGAAUAUUUUAUUAGAUGUAAAGAGGAAAUAAGAUAAUUAAAGAAAUGGGUAAUGAGAACAAUAAAGGAAGUCGAAAAAUAUUUCAAAUACAAAUUAAUAUUUUGAAAUUAUUAAUUGAGUGUUCAAAAUAAAUUUUAGAAUGUAAGAAGUGCAUCGCUGCCCAUUUCUUUGAUGAACCCAGUAGAAACAGCUUUAAAAUUAUAGAAACUGUAAAACGCUGUAAAAGUGAAAACUUUAAAAAGCUUGCUCUAGUAUUUAAACCUUUAAUAGUGCAAAGUCACAAGUCUUGCAGCUAGUUGAUAUAUCCCCAAGCUAAAAACAUGUGUUGUAUACUCAUUUUUUAUAGUGAUACUAGAACUAUUAUUAUCUUAUGUCUAUGUACGUAUGUUUACAAUUUAUUUCAUAAAUUUACUGAGACAAGUGCCGAAAUUUAUGGCGAAGUACGUCCAAUCUAUUGUCACUAAGGCCCUAUUUGGUAUUUAGAUAAUGUAGUUUUUGUGAAAAAAAAUAAUGUAAUUAAGAAAUAAAAAUUAAUAAUAUAUAGUAAUAUGACUUGUAAAUAAUAAUUUGAAAAAAAUAAUAAAGAAUUAUAAGUUUUUUCAAAAUAAAAGUGGUGGAUCAAAUUAAUUUAGCUUUCAAGUCAUAGCAAGUAGUGUUUAUCAAAUAUAAAAAGUUAUAAUUAUCCAAUCUCAAUCAGAACCUGAGCAUUUUUAGCAAAAACAAUACUUUUAUUCUAUAUUUUACAAAUAUCUUCACCAUUAUUCAGAGCACCAACCCUUAACUUUUUUCGAUUAUGUUUGGUAUAACUUUUUAAGCAGAACUUUUACUAAAAAAAAUAAUUGUUUGAUUGUCAAUGAGAUUUUUUAUUAAAAUUUCUAGAAUUACUUUAAUAGGCAAAUUUCUUAAAGUUAUGUUAUGAAAUGAAUAAAAUAAAAUUGUGAAAUAUAUAAAGCAUAUUUUAGACAAUAUAAUAUUUUUAAAAAAUUUUAACCUCUACUCCACAAAAUUUAAAAUUUAAACUUUUAUUAGUACAAAUAAAAUAAUUUAUUUAAUUUUUUAAAAAUUUUACUCAAAUUAUAAUUAAAUAAUAUUAAGUCUUAAAAAAAAGUUAUAAGAUUAAAUAAAUAUAUUUGACUGAACAUACACUAACUUGAACUCUUGAAAAAUAAAUAUUUUGCGCCACAUAAGUAGGGUCCAAUUAUGUUGCAACUGAUGUAUUAUACCAGAGUUCCUCUUUUUUUCCCCGUAUUAUUGGAUAAUUGAUGCAAAUUAAGCAAAGUUGUUGGGUGCUUCUCGUUCAAUCUAGCAGUUGAAAUUAAUUAUUGGAUAAUUGAUGCAGCGACUAGCAACCGUUGCAGCCGGUUGUAUAUUAAUUUAAUAGCAGUUCAGCGAGCGUGGGUUUCGAAAAUUUGUUAGUGCUGAUUAGAGUCUCACUGAUUUCAUCUGAAAAUUGAUCUCGAGACAUCAAUUAAGACAUAAAAUUAGAAUUAGGGGAUCGCAGUUUUUUUGGGAAUUAAAAUUUCCCUAUGAUUCAUACAUGAAUAUGGCCUCUCACUUGUAGGGAAUUGACGGUGAAAUUAUAAUCGUCACAGCAGAAUGCAAUCAAAAGUUACGGUGCUAAAAGUUUAGGCAUAUAUCAAAUUAGAGUGAAUCUCGCAUCACUUUGAUUUGGUCUUAUGCCGAUCGAAUCACCUGAUGCAGUAUGUAAUUCCUUAUUAAAACUUGCAAUUUUUUAUUUUGAAAAGAUUUAAAAUUUGUAAUUUCAUUACAGAAAUGAGGCGGGGGCUCACAAACAGAAAGCUAGCGAUUUAAAGAGCCACAGUCAAGCUUUAGAAGCCGAUGGUAACAUAGUUAGAACAAUAGAAUCUGAUAGCGUUAGGGAUUCAUAAGCUAUUUGUAAGUAUUUGUACUCCCUGACUAAAUAAUUUGGGAAUAUAAGGAUGCAAUAAGAGUUGAGUGGUCUUUAUUCCAAUAGCAUUAUUUUUUUCGAGCUUCAUCCGUGCUCUAUUCAAUCUUUAUGUGCCGCUUGUGUUAUGUUCCUGCAUAUCUAAUUACCUUUAGAUGCUAGUUGAUAUUUGACAAUUUUGCAGGUUAAGGAUAUUAGAUGGGAUGCAGAGCUUGGCAGUCAGAACAUGGAAUCACGGUUGGUUGAAUACUUUGUAGAUGAGUUUAAUAAACAAGUUGGUAAUUGGGUGAAGUGAGGAAGUCUCCCAAGGCCAUGGCUGAACUGAAGAAGCAAGUUAAAUAUACAAGAGCAAUUCUUUGUGCGAACACAAUGGAACCAAUAUCAGUUAUAUCUUUCCACGAUGAUAGGGACUUCAGAUAAGUGGAGUUAAAGUUCAGAUUUUACUGUUUGAGGUGCGUUUGAAGUUUAUUAACAAAAUUAAUGUGUUCUUUAAAUGAGUGAGGAACUGUAGAACAUGACAAGUAGAGUUUAUUGUGUGAGGGAUGCAUAUUCUCUUACAAGUGCUUUGUUCUUUAAUAUAGCACUAUAAGACAUCUUCUGAUGAAAAAUAGAGUCAAUAAAAUUACUCCAGACUGACUGGGCCGUUACGUUUUGGAUUCCAAUUCUUGCAUGAGAUUUCUUUUUCCUUUUUUUCUUUUUUCAAAUUUACUAGUGGUACUUUCAUUUGGUAAACUAUUCUAUACAUACAUAUAUAUAUAUAUAUAUAUAUAUAUAUAUAUACUCUAAUCAAUUAUAUUGGCUUAUUCUCCUUUUAUGUUGAUUCACGCUGCUGGUAUAGAUAAAAUUUAUUUAUUAGUUUUGGUGAAAAAUUUGUUUUGUUGCACACGGAUAGUAAACCCAAAUACAUUCAUAUGUGUUAGAGCAGCUCAUUAUGCUGAACAGAAGAAGGUGAAGACUAAGAUGAAGAAAAUACAGAGCAAGUUACAGGGCAAGUGUGUCAGCAGUGCCAGCUCAGCUAACAGCUCAGCAGAUUAGUUAAAGAUGGUUGUAAGCAUGAUGUGCAUUGUACUGAAGUUAGUUAGCUUUGAUUACAGUUAGUCUUUGGAUUAGUUAAAUGAAGUUACCGUGAUUGCAUUGUAUAUAAACAUGUGAUGCUUUGUAAAAAGGUUAAGCAAAAUAAAAAUCAAAGUUUGUUAAGGAAAUAUCUCCAGAAUUAUCAAUUCAUUUUCUUAGUAACCAAACAACUUUAUUUUCAUUUUCUUUCAUGGUAUCAGAGCCACUCUAAUGGCUAGUUCCAGUAGCACAACAUCAAAUCCAAAUCAAAUGAAUAUAAAUCAAUCAUCACAUAUCUCCUUUUCGUUCAGCACUCCAGUCAAAUUGGAUCGAUCAAAUUUCAUGAUUUGGCGAAAGCAAGUUCUUACUACAAUAAGAGGAAAUCGUCUUGAAGAUUUUAUUUCUGGAAAUCAAAUCAUACCAGAACAAUACAUUUCUAAUACAGUAGCUGAUGGAUCAGUACAGAGAAUCACGAAUCCAGCUUACAUCAACUGGCGAGCUCAGGAUCAAACUUUGCUUGGCUGGAUUUUGUCAUCCAUAAGUGAAGGUAUCUUAAAUACUGUUCUUAAUUGCGAAAAUUCAUUUGAAGCAUGGAGAUCAAUUGAAAAACAAUUUGGAGUACAAUCUGAGGCUAGAGUUAUGCAAUUGAGGUAUGAAAUGAAUGUCCUUAGAAAAGAGAAUAUGUCUAUUGAGGAGUACUGUUUAAAAGUAAAAGUUGUUGCUGAUAAGCUUGCUUGUGCUGGUAGCCCUGUGUCUGAGAAAGAUCUGCUAAUGCAAAUUUUGAAUGGCCUAGGACCUGGAUUUCUAGAUCUUGCUUCAAUAAUUACUGCUAAUAGAAUGUCGUAUGAUGAUGCUUAUGCAUUACUCUUAACACAUGAGGCAAGAAUGGAACAAAAUCAUAAUACUAAAGAUCUUUUUAGUGCAAACUAUGGGAUGAUGAAUGCUAACUACUCUCAGUUUAGAGGAAAUAAUAAGAGAGGUGGUUAUAGUGGAUAUCAAGGGCAAUUUAAUGCUGGAAAUAGGAAUCAAAAUGGAGGAAGAGGAAUGUUUUUCAAUUCAUUCUCAAGAGGUUUUCCAGCUGGUGGAUAUACUGGUAAUGCUGGUGGCAGAGGACAGCAAAUGAAUGCAUAUGCUUAUAAACCUGUGCUUAACAACAGGCAUAAUUUCAAUAUGAAUCAUGGCUCAACUUCAAUGUCCAAUGGAAAUGGAUCUGAUGAUAAUGUGCUUAUCUGUCAAAUCUGUCAUAAAGCUGGACAUGCAGCUGAUGUUUGUUGGCACAGACACUUUGAUGGCUAUGCUCCUCAACCCAGACAAUUUGGAAGGGGCAGAGGGCAUAAGUCUGCUUAUAUGGCUAACUUUGAUCCACAAAUUGGCUUUACUUCACAAUUUGAAGAUUCAUUUGCUACAGAAUAUCCUGGUUAUCAUGGGUACCAUCCACCUGAUAUGAAUGCAUCAGUUGCAUCAGUAAGUCAUCACUCAUCUGAUAUGCAUUCUGUACCUGGAGCAGCUUAUAUUGCAAAUUUUGAAGGACCAGCUGAUGAAGGGUGGUAUCUUGAUAGUGGAGCUACGCAUCACAUCACUAACAACAUGGCCAAUAUGCAUAUCAGAGAUCAAUUCACUGGAGCAGAUCAGCUCAUUAUUGGAAAUGGACAAGGUUUGCCCAUAACUCAUGUUGGUGAUGCAUCCUUUCUCUUUAAAAGUUCCAAUUCUACACACAAACACUCACCUAUAGUACUUAAAGAUAUUCUGUUGGUGCCUUCCAUUACCAAAAAUUUGUUAAGUAUCUCGAAGCUUACCACUGAUAACAACUUGUCUGUUGAAUUUCUUGGAAAUGUUUGUUUUGUGAAGGAUUCUCUGAGGGGACAGGUACUUCUGCAGGGUCUUGCUGAGAAAGGGUUAUACAGGCUGUUAUUGAAAUCAUCAUCAUCCUCUCAGUUAUCAUCAUCUUUUCUUUCUCACAUGUGUUCCAAUAAACCUUUGUCUAUGCUUUCUUGUUGUUGUUUCAAUUCUGUUCCUUCUGGAGUUGUUACAGAAUCUCAGAAAUCAUGUAAUCAAACUGAUGAUUCAUCUUGUAAAACUUCAGUUAAUAAAGCUAUUUUGCUUCAUAGAAAGUUUGGUCAUCCCAAUCAUCAAAUAUUAACUCAUAUACUCAAAACAGCAAAAUCUAUUCAUUUACCUGCAUAUCAAAAGCAACAAAUGCAUCAGUACAUCUGUGAGGCCUGUCAAAUGGGCAAAACACAUAAACUUCAUUUUCCAAUUACUGAAACCAAAACCUCCAAAACUCUAGAACUUAUACACACUGAUUUAUGGGGUCCUUCUCCCAUUAUUUCUAGAGAUGGUUAUCAGUAUUAUAUAAGUUUUGUAGAUGACUACAGCAGGUAUACAUGGAUUUAUCCUUUGAAGCUAAAGUCUGAGGCAUUAGAAGUCUUUAAGCUCUUUAAACUGCAGGUUGAAAAUCAGUUUAGCACAACCAUUAAGAUGAUGCAAUCUGAUUGGGGGGGAGAGUAUAGACCAUUCACUGAGUUUUUAAGCCAAUUUGGUAUCAUCUUUAGACAUCCUUGUCCUUACACUCAUCAUCAAAAUGGGUUAGUUGAAAGGAAGCAUAGACAUAUUGUUGAAUUGGGUCUGACUCUCUUAGCUCAAGCUCAACUUCCCUUUAAGUUCUGGUGGGAUGCAUUUCAUACUGCUGUAUAUCACAUCAACAGACUUCCAUCUCCUGUUUUGCACCUUUUAACCCCAUAUGAAAAGACAUUCAAACACAAACCUGAUUAUGAUUUUCUCAGAUGUUUUGGGUGUUCUUGUUAUCCUUACUUGAGAGAUUACAAUAAACAUAAAUUUGCCUACCAUUCUAGUAAGUGCAUAUUCAUUGGUUACAGUCCUUCACAUAAGGGCUACAAAUGUUUACACCCUUCAGGUCGAGUCUAUGUGGCAAGACAUGUUACCUUUGAUGAAUCAGUUUUUCCUUAUGCCACUGAGUUUGUUUUUCAUAGUCAUGCUAAAACUGAUUCUCAAAUUUCUCAUUCCCAUACACCACAGCAAAUCCAUCAUAUCUCUUCUUUGCCUGUCAAUAACAGCACUGGUAAUCUGAACUCUGUAAGAUCUGGAAGCAGCAGUUCAAGUCACUCAGAUCAUCUAGAACAGACAGCAACUGAUCAGAAUUCACAACAAGCUACCAUAAAUGACAGGUCACCUUUUCAUACAUGUCCAACAAUUGUUGAAUCUAUACAAAAUAUUCCAGAACCUCCACAUCACUCUUUGCCUAUACAAAGUCACCAUCCUAGCAACACUUCUUUCUAUCCAUAUACACAACCAAAUACACAUCAGAUGAUAACCAGAAGUAAAGCAGGGAUUUUCAAACCCAAAAUUUAUACUGCUGUGCUUACUCACAAGGAACCAGAUACUGUGCAAGAAGCAUUAAAUGAUUCAAAGUGGCUACAAGCUAUGAGGGAGGAAUAUGAUGCCUUGAUUAAGAAUAAUACAUGGACAUUGGUUCCAAGACAAGCUGAUCAGCAUGUGGUUGGAAAUAAAUGGGUGUAUAGAAUCAAAUAUAAUACAGAUGGAAGUGUAGCUACGUAUAAAGCUAGACUUGUUGCAAAGGGUUUUCAGCAAGUGGCAGGGAUUAACUAUUUUGAGACAUUUAGCCCAGUUGUGAAGUCAGCUACAGUUAGAGUAAUACUUAGCUUGGCAGUGAUGAAUCAGUGGAGAAUAAGGCAAGUGGACGUCAAUAAUGCCUUUUUGAAUGGAGAGCUAACAGAAGAAGUUUUCAUGUCUCAACCUGAUGGCUUUAUUGAUGCUCAGAGAUCUGAUUUUGUAUGCAAAUUACACAAGUCUCUGUAUGGGCUCAAGCAAGCUCCUAGAGCCUGGUAUGACAAGCUUAAAGGAUGCUUAAUAAGCUGGGGUUUCACUACUACUAGUUCUGACACCUCAUUGUUUGUUAGGAAGAUCAAGACAUCUAUGAUCAUAGUUCUUAUAUAUGUUGAUGACAUACUGAUCACAGGUCCAAAUACUGAGGAGCUGGAAGGUUUCAUAACUGAAUUCAGCAAAACUUUUGCUCUAAAGGAUCUGGGAGUGUUAUCUUAUUUCCUUGGAAUUGAGGUAUUAUAUGAUGCAGAUUGUAUGUACUUGUCACAGAGAAAGUAUAUCAGAGAUUUGUUAUCGAAGGUAGAAAUGACUGAAUGUAAGGGCAUUGAUACACCCAUGAGUACUGGCUCUAAACUGCAAAAGAUAGUUCAGGGGGAACUUGGAUACUAUCUUGAAGAUCCAACUCAUUAUAGGAGCAUAGUUGGAGGAAUGCAGUACCUGAUACUUACCAGACCUGAGAUUGCGUUUGCUGUAAACAAGCUCAGUCAGUAUGUAGCUGCACCAACACUACAACAUCUAAUGGCAUGCAAGAGAGUUCUAAGAUAUCUAAAGGCAACUCAAGAUUAUGGUUUAAAAUUUUUCAGAGAAGGAAGCUUAACACUCACUAGUUUUACUGAUGCAGAUUGGGCAUGUGACUUAGAUGAUAGGAAAUCAGUUGGUGCUUAUUGCAUUUAUUUAGGCAAUAAUUUGAUAUCCUGGUCUUCUAAGAAACAAUCAGUGAUAACCAGAUCAAGUGCCGAGAGUGAGUAUAGAGCUUUGGCAUCAGUGAGUGCAGAGCUGACAUGGUUACAAUCCUUAUUUUCUGAGUUGGGAUUAAGUUGCAUAGAAAAGCCAAUCAUAUGGUGUGACAACAUUAGUGCCACUGAACUAGCAAAGAAUCCUGUGUAUCAUUCAAGAACAAAGCAUAUCGAAAUUGAUAUGCACUUCAUUAGGAAUAAGGUUCUUGCUGGUGAGUUGAUUAUUCACUAUGUACCAAGUGAAGAACAGAUUGCAGACAUAAUGACCAAGCCUCUUUCAUUUGUAAGGUUUAACUACUUGAGGUCCAAACUCAAUGUCCAUCUUUGUCCUCUGAGUUUGAGGGGGGCUGUUAGAGCAACUCAUUAUGCUGAACAGAAGAAGGUGAAGACUAAGAUGAAGAAAAUACAGAGCAAGUUACAAGGCAAGUGUGUCAGCAGUGCCAGCUCAGCUAACAGCUCAGCAGAUUAGUUAAAGAUGGUUGUAAGCAUGAUGUGCAUUGUACUGAAGUUAGUUAGCUUUGAUUACAGUUAGUCUUUGGAUUAGUUAAAUGAAGUUACCGUGAUUGCAUACAGGUGAUGCUUUGUAAAAAGGUUAAGCAAAAUAAAAAUCAAAGUUUGUUAAGGAAGUAUCUCCAGAAUUAUCAAUUCAUUUUCUUAGUAACCAAACAACUUUAUUUUCAUUUUCUUUCAAUAUGGAUAUCUGGGGUUUGUUUUGUCUUUUAGGAGCAGCAUUACCUGUCGAAAGUUCAAAGAGCUCACUGAACUUAAGCAUUCGGGGUUGAAAAUGGACGAGAUAUAUGCAGUGGAGUUCAUUGGAGGAGCUACUAUAGUGCCAAAGUUGCAGGUUUGCAAUAUCCGCUUUGUUUUGGUAGUUAGCCCGAGUAUUAAAUUCUUGAGGCGUGUAAGGUAGUGGACUUUAGCCAAUUCAAGAGUAGAAUAUAAUAUGUUUACUUGUUUUGAUCUUAAUCUUUAAUCACUUACCCUGAAUAAGAAAUAAUUUUUUAUAUUUGCUCUGCUAUGAUGUUAUUCGGUGUUAAUAGCUUCGUUUUAUUGCUCUUUUCCGCACAAAUUCUUGAUCUCAAAAGAACUUUUAUUUUGAAUAUUCUGCGUAAGGACAAUCUGAUUUAAUACCAUCAGUGAUUUUUCAUUUUUUCUCUUUAGUUUUAAUAUGUUUGAUAACUGUAUGGUUAAGCAAUCUAUGCAAUUUUAUCUUGUCGUAUGUUUGAGCUCAUUUUUUGUUGCACUUCUGAAUAUUUGGUAUUAAUUAUGUGAUAUCGGACAAUACUAUUAACUUGUUAAUUGCUUAAAUCUAAUAUCUUGUCAAAGUCACUAAUAGCAUUUCAUCAUGCAAUGAGUUAAACAUGGAACAAAUGAUGACAUGCGGUUGUGGAAUGUGUUAGAUCUCUGGGAUUCUAUGUCCUUAUGCUUGCAGGGCAACACAAUACAUUUGUUAAAACAUUGAAGACUGUGAUGUCCGCAGAAAAUUAUACGUCAACUUAUGCACCAGGCAUGAUGAAAUUAGCCAAAGACAGUGCUUGGAAGUGGCAAGCGACAAUUUGCUUCUACCAAUGACUUCAGAUCUUAAACCUGUUUCAAGCAAGGCCAGCAAUGACAUUAUGUUCAAAACAGUUUAGCCAGACACACUUGUUCACACCCCUCUACUACAUAUAACCUAGAGGUACAUUUUUUCUUUACAUUCUUUCUAUACGAUUGGGAUUAGGCUUAUCCAGUUCAAUACAUUAUUUCACAAAACUUAUACCAACUUAUUCCUAAUUAUAGUGGACACAAUUAACUUACUUUGGCAAUUGUUUCGAAGAGGUUGACAUCAACUACCAGUGAUGACAAUCUCUUGUAAUGUUUUGGUGCUAUCUACUAAAUAUUACUACUACAUAAUAUUGACAAUUCAUCUAUGUGCAGGCCCGUGAUAACCAUUUAGAUCGACCAGAUAAAGGACUUGGACAUCAACAAUUUGCCCAGAAACCAAUAAGAUAUUGUAAUCAUAAGCAAUCACCCAUCUCUUUGGAUGGUGCUCUAUUGUGAUUCUUUCCUCUAUGACUGUUAAAUAAGCAAUGUAUUGCACUUUUGUUAUGCAAAAGUAUGGCGACCAUGUAUCAACCAGUGCAUCUAUUUUAUACACUAAUUAUGACUUACUAGAAAUUUUAUUACAUUAAUCAUUUUUAGAUAGCUACUCAUCGCAAACGAAAUAAACUGUUCAGGGACACUUGACCCAACAUGCUUGUGACCGACCUUAGAAUAAUUUUUUGUCACUUAAUAUAGACAACUUCUACGAGGUUAAUAUUUCUUCAAAUUUUAACAAAAUCAUUGGCCACAUGAAAACAUACACAUGUUUCCGUUGGCAUGUUAAGUAGACGGGAACAACAUGCGGGGUAUGUACGCCAUUACCUUAAACGAAGCAAAAUUAUCUUGUGUUUAUCAAAGUUUGAAACUAAUUCUGUGCUUACAAAGAAUGUAUGAAUAACGCAUUAUACUCAUACACCAAAUUUUAAUAUGAUGGAAUCAAGUAAUUCUGUCUUAAUCAAAGUUUUUAGACUUACAAGAUGAUGGUCAAGUUUAUAUAAAAGCAAAUAACACUGAAAUCUAAUCAUCCUAUACAAACAAAUAUGAUUUAUUCAAUUAUAGCAAACAAUUGUUUUAUCGGAGUUAAUUACAUUAUUGCUAAACUUGUAUAAGUUUUCCUGUUUCAAACAUAUCUACUUAAUUACAUUAUUCAUCGACAAUGUUACUUUGCCAGUGGAAGUUUCAUUUUUUCAUACCUUAAUCACUAUUUAAUGCUUCGUUUUCCAAUAGUUCUAAUUCUUCAAAUUUUGGUUUUAUUCUUCCAUAAUUAUAAAUUGAUACUGAUUCGCAUGACUCAAAUUAAAGUGGUUAAUUACUCUAAAGUAUAAAUCUAGCAGUCAAUAAUUACAUAAAAAUAAUUGCAAAAAAAAAGUUAAUAAGGAAUAGUAUAAAUUUAAAAACUGCCAAAGUUACGAGAUAUAUGCUUGAUAUUUAAAUCAUGGCCAUAAUACUUUCUCACAUUAUAUAUAUAUAUAUAUAUAUAUAAUGUGAUUCAGUUCUUUAAUUAACCACUCUAUGAAUAAAUAUGAGAAUUAAGUACAUAUUAUGCCACAACCUUAUUGAAGUGUUCCCACUACAAUAUUAGUAGUCAACAUUAGGUCUAAACACCCACAUAAAUCCAAGGGAUCUAGAUCUACAAAUAUUAACCACUCUAUGAAUAAACAUGGGGAUGAAGUACAUAAUUGCCACGACCAUAUUGGAAUGUUUCCACUACCAUAUUCGUGUGUCAACGUUGCGUCUAAACAUUUAUAUACAUCCAAGCAAAUUUAUAUUUGUAAAUAAAUAUAAAAUAUGGAAUGAAAAUAAUCGGUAGAAAAUAUAAAUUACAAACAAUAAACUUAAAAUACAUUUGAGAAAGUAAUUAAAUCCACAAUUUAGAUCCUUGAAUUUCACACUCAUCACCUUAGCUUAAAACAUUAGCCACUCAUAUUAAUAAAAAAAACACUCAUUUUGUUUUAUAAAUUUGUAAAAGUAUAAUACAAGAAAAAUUAAAAUAAAGAAGAGAAAAAAAAAAUCUCUUCUUAUUAACUACACUUCUUCAUAAAAUUCACUCUAAAUUUCUCUAGGAAACUCACCUCUAAAAUUCUACACACCGAAUUAUCAAAUCUCUUGCCUUUAUAUAAAGGUAAAUUCUAGGUUGAUCAAGUGUGGGUAUUUACAUGAUAUUUUUGGUGAACUUGCAACCACAACCUUUAAAUGACCUUUGAUAAUACAAAUACAAUCCAAGGGGUCCAAAAUUGCAAGUAUUGUCAUGCAUAAUAAAACGGUUCAUUCAACAUAAUCAAUGGCUAUAAAGAAGUCAAAUCGGGAUCCUCCAUUGGAUUUUUUUUUCUUAAUUAUUCAAGGUGGUUGAAUCACUAUAUUGAUAAGUAUUAAAUUUAGUAUAAAGAGGUGCAUGUGAGCUCAGACACACGACACAUAUCAACUUUUCAGAAUUAAUGUUAGAUAAAACGGCUACCAAUAUUUUUGUGAAAAUUAAAAUUAAAAUUUUUACUUUUAUUUAAUGUAUACUUUCUAGUAUUAAUCAUUAAUGAACAAUUUUUUAUUUCAUCGCCGUCUAGAUUGCUUUUAUCUUAUACAAAUUUAUUUAAAACCUUUAAAUAGUUUCUAACCACUAUAUAAUUUUAUCUGUCGUCCUUAAUCUUGUUAUCCACAACUGACCAACAUAUUGUUACCUACCAUUAUAGUUGUGUAAUUCACCUUUUGUUAACUGACUUCACUAAUAUAUUUUAAAAGAAACGUGGCCAUCUGUUGCUCGUUGGAUCACUUGCUUUUAAAUCCAAUAAUUCCGUGAGAUAAAGACAAAACGCUUGCUAUAGCGCUACAGUUACAACAUAGACGUGGCCGUAGAGGCGAGAAAAAAAAUCUAUUUGUUUAGUCACUGUACACUUUUUCAUUCAUUUUGUCCGCUUCCAAAUCCUCGGGAGAAACAACACAAAUAAAAAAAAGAUUUUAAGAAAUUUGAUGCCUUGUUCGCCGAAUCUCUCCACUUUUAAAUAGUGUCGUGAUCCUGAUCGUGUGAUCUGGUAAUGGUAUGACAAUUACUUUGGAGAAAACACCGGCCCACUUUUAAUAAAAUAAAUUUUAUACCAAACGAAUCAUAAGGCAAAAACACUGCACUUACCUAUCCAUACUGAUUAAACUCCCUCACCAUCACAUUUUAAUAAUGACAAUUGGUUGUGUUAGCAUUUUGGUCAAAAGGCUGGACCCCCCCGCCCCCACAAAACAAACAAAAAAAAAUUAUGAUAAUAAUUAACAUUCAUAAAUAAAAAUUAAUAAUGGGUGUGUUAGCAUUUUGGUCAAAAGCGGGUUUGACCUUCACAUUAAUUGGAAUUUUGGAUCUAUAAUAUGAUUUUCACCGAAAAUAUAAUUUUGCCGCUAAUUAUUUGGGUAAUCAGAUAAUAAUAACAAAAAAAUGUUAUCUCUCACCUAUAACUUGAGGAGAUAAUAAUAAAAGUCUUUCAUCAUAAUCUACUGUUAGUUUCUCUUCUUCAUUUUUUUCUCCUUUGAAGUCUUUCAACAAAAAUGGGUGGCAUCAUCUCAACCUUCUUCUCAGCGGACACAAUUCGUCCAAUUUUAUUUUACGUCGGUGGACAAGCAAAGUAUAUAUGGGGUCUUAAAGGUAAUCUCGAUGACUUGCAGACUCAAAAGGAGAACUUGAUUGCGAAAAAACAAGAUCUGCUGAAUAAGGUUAAGCUUGCCGCGCAACAACCCCGAAUCAGACGGACGACGACGGUGGAACUUUGGUUUAAAAGGGUGGAAGAAAUGGAAACUAAAGUUGAAAAUCUGCAAAAAGAAGGAGAUCAACAGGUUGAUAGACUGUGUCUUGGAGGCUUCUGUUCCACGGACUUGAUUUCAAGCUACGACUUCGGCAAAAAAGUGGAGAACUUGAGAGAAAAAGUGAUCGAACUGAAGAAAGAGGGGGAAGCAAUGAAAGAAGUUUAUGAGGGGGUACCAGAAGGUGCAGCGGUUGAAAAAGCUGUUGACCGAACAAUCGUUGGUCAAGAAUCAAUACUUGACCGAGUGUGGAGAUGCAUCACAGAUCAAGAAAAGAAUGAGGAAAUUAUUGGCUUAUAUGGUAUGGGGGGCAUCGGCAAAACUACUCUGUUAAAACAAGUCAACAACAAGUUCUGCAGUGAGGAGCAUGAUUUUGAUGUCGUUAUCUGGUCGGUUGUAUCUAGAGAGCCAAACUUGAAGCAGAUUCAAGAGGAUAUUGGGAAAAGGAUAGGCUUCUCAACAGAUUCAUGGCAGGGAAAAAGUUUUGAAGAAAGGGCUUCAGACAUCACCAACACUUUAAAGCAUAAGAAGUUUGUAUUGUUAUUGGAUGAUAUAUGGGAGUCCGAAAUUGAUUUAACAAAAUUGGGCGUCCCUCUUCGGACACUAGAUUCUGGGUCCAGAAUAGUCUUCACAACUCGUUUUGAGGGUACUUGUGGUAAAAUGGGAGCCCAUAAGAAUCGGUACAAAGUGUUUUGUUUGGGAGAUGACGAUGCCUGGAAAUUAUUUGAGGGGGUGGUCGGGAGUUACGUUCUUAACAAGCAUCCCGACAUUCCGAAGUUAGCCGAGGAUGUGGCACGUCAGUGUCAUGGUUUGCCGCUGGCCCUCAAAACAGUAGGUAAUGCCAUGGCGAGCAAAGUGUACCCUGAAGAAUGGAAAGAAGCAAUUGAGAUCCUAAGCGCAUCAGCUUCUAAAUUCGAAGAUAUGGAGAAAAAGGUGCUUUCGAGCUUAAAGUUCAGCUAUGACAGUUUGCCGAAAGAUGAACUUCGAUCUUGUCUCCUGUACUAUUGUUUAUUUCCCGAAGACUCUGAAAUUGAAAAAACUGAGUUGAUAGAGUAUUGGAAAAGUGAAGGAUUUGUGGAUUCCAGCAGCGGGUGGGGGGUUCUUGGUGCUCUCGUUCGGGCAUGCUUAUUGGAGGAAGCAGGUGAUCGUGUAAAAAUGCACGAUAUGAUCCGUGACAUGGCAUUAUGGAUAGCAACGGAAAUAGAGGAGGAGGAGAACUUUUUGGUUCGUGCAGGAGUUGGAUUAACUGACGCCCCAAAGAUUGAAGAAUGGGAAGGGGUCAAAAGGAUAUCCUUGAUGAGGAACAAAAUUCGAAGUCUACCACAAAUUCCCACUUGUCCGCGUCUGCAAACAUUGCUUCUGGAAUAUAAUCAUAUUGAGGAGAUCACUGAGAGUUUCUUUCAAUCUUUGCCUUCGCUUAGAGUUUUGAAUCUAAGUGGAAAUCAUUACCUAACUGAACUACCUGUAGGGAUUUCAAGUUUGGUUUCAUUACACCAUCUUGAUCUGUCUUCUACUGGAGUACGUGGAUUGCCGCAAGAGCUCAAGGCAUUGGUGAAUCUGAGAUAUUUGAACUUGGAGUAUACACAUGAAAUGUCUAGAAUUCCAGAGCAAUUGAUAUCAAGCUUUCCAAAGUUACAGGUACUCAGGAUGCUGUAUUGCGGUUCAAACCACCGGCCAAUAGCGGAAGAAGGCAACGUUCUAUCCGAUGAUGCUGAAUCAUUGAUGAAGGAAAUCCACUGUUUGGAACAAUUAAACCUCAUCACCUUGUCCUUACAUGGUUCGCGUGGUGUUGAAAACUUUCUGAAAUUCCCAAAGCUGCAGAAUAUCACUCAAGCUCUGUACAUCAAAGACUGCAACAGUCUACCGCUCAAUUUGUUGCAUCUAGCAAACAUGGAGCAUCUUGAGCGGUUAGUCAUUUGGGACAGUAAUUUGGAAGACUGGAAUGUCGACUGCGCGGGAGAGGUACAAAAAAUGCGAAAACUUCACUUUGUUACAAUAGCCGAAUGCUCAAAUGUGAAGGACUUGACGUGGCUUGUUUUUGUUCCAAAUCUCAAGUGGCUGCGAAUAUAUGAUUGUGAUGACAUGGAAGAAAUAAUCAGUGUUGAAAAAUUUAAAAAAUUGAGUGAAGUUUCAGAGAUGAUGGGAGAGCUUAACUUGUUCACAGAACUCGAAAUUAUGAGCCUAGGAGAUGCAAGUAAUUUGAAGCGCAUCUACCGCGAUCACUUGCCCUUUCCACAGCUGAAGGAAAUUGUCAUAUCUCGAUGCCCAAAGUUGAAGAAGCUCCCACUCAAUUCCAGCAGCGCAAAGGGACGUAAAAUUGUCAUUUACGGGGAGAAAGAAUGGUGGGAAGAGCUACAAUGGGAGGAUCAAGCCACUCAAAAUGCUUUCUCUCCCUGUUUCCUACCUGAGCUACAAUGGGAGGAUCAAGCAAGACUUUGAAUAAAGUUUCUGCGUGUGCUUAAUGAUUAUCUUGUCUAUCUAUUUCAUUUAAUUUAAAAGCUUUCCACGGUGUUGCGUGUCACUUGUCAUUCUUCUGUACUGCUGUUUCCUAUUUCCGGUUAAUAAAACUUUUUUGUUCUUCGAAAUGGUUUGCUCGGAAGCGAGAUCGUCAAUUUUCUUAUAUUUUGAUUAAUAUAUUCUAUUUACUUUCCUAUUAUGUCAAUAAUUGCCUGGUAGCAUAAUUUUUUAAUAUUAUUUAUAUUCAUAUUUAUUAUAAAUUAAAUAAAUAUAUGAAUAGAAAUAAAAAUAAAAAUUAAGUAUUAAAAUAAGAAAUAUAUAUUUCGAUGUGAAUAAAAAAUAAAUAUUUGUUUGUACUUUUUAUUUUAUAUAUUCCUUAGAAGAACAUAUUUAUAAAAUAAAAAGUGCAAGAAAAAUAUUUUAUUAUUAAUUUUGUACUCACAUCAAAAUAUAUAUUUAUUACUUUCAAUACUUAAUUAUUUAUUCAAAUCAUCAUUUAUAUGAUUUAUUUAAUUUAUAAUAAAUAUAAAUAAAAGUAUAUUUGUAAAUAAAAGUAAUAUUAUAAAUUAUGUUGUUAGAAAUUAUUGGUCAUUAUAAAAAUAAUAUGGGAUAAAUGGUAAAUCGUAAAUAUUGUUUCCUAUUUUCAGCUAAAAAAUUUCUUUGUUCCAAGAAUUACAUUGCUAGUAAUAAGGCUUGCAAGUUGCUUAACUGUAUAUGACUUCUUUCUUAAAAAAGUUACUAUCUAUUUCGGAGAUUGAUUAUCUUGAAGUAGUGAGAUUUAUGUAAUGUUGGUAUUAAAAGAAUUUGUGCGACUGAUAAAAAAAUGUCCAUCGGAUAACAAUGGACCGAUAAUAGUUUUAGCAAAAUGCAGGUAAAAAAUUAAAAUAUUCUGCAAGCUCUACAUAGCUUUUUCAGCAGAUUUUACCCAUUUGACUGCAGACCAAAGCAUGGAUCGAAGCAUUUAUUAAGAAGAGGAUCAUCCGGAGGCAAAAGAUCAAGAAUAUCAUCUGAGGCCAGGAUAACAAUGUUCACUGCCCUCGCCAGCAGUACUUGUAGUUCUCUUCUUAACGAGUUUGUUGCCCCUUCCACGUCCUUUCUGUUCAAAGCAUCAAGUGCAGGAAUUAAUGUGUAUUCCAUUGUUGCUCUUAUCUGGUAGCACAACUUCAAAACCCUGAAUAUAAAAGGGGAGGUAACAAAUCAUCAUCUACACCUCCAGAAGAAGAAAGAAGGAAAAAAAAGGUUUGUUUGAUGGUAACCCAUGCUGACAUGCUAUACGAAUGAUGCUUAAGUUCAGAUGCUUCUACUACCUAUCUUAUGUGAAGAAAGAUAUUAAAGAACAACUAAUAUACAAGAGAGACAACAUCAAGUUGAAUGGAGUAAAAUUUCAUCUUCUCUCAAAGCUCUCUUUGCUCAAUCAAGUGAGCUUUACUUUCAAGGCUUAUGUUCACCGCUCUCUUGAGCAUUGAAUUAACACUUGAGACAAAGGAAGUUAAAUAAGUUUAUAUUACUCUAUAAGCCAAACAGUUCAAGACAUAAGUCUUCAGAAGCUGCACAUUAACGUGGCAUAACACCUUGUGAGAUACCAUGUUUUCAUUUCUUUUUAUUACUCCUUUUUCUUCAUUGUUUAUUUCAGGCUUUGCCAACACAAUGCUUUUCUGUACACAUUUCAUUUAACAGUCUUAAAAAAAAGACAUAAACACUACAAUAGGAGGUAGUAAAAUACUCUUGAUUAAAUGAUCUUAUAGAUGUUAGCUUGGUGUUAUACUCUGAAUCAAUCAACCAGGCAUCCAAUUUCCAAAGGAAAAGUCAUGAUUCCUAUGUGAAAAUUUUAGAAUCAUUCAAAUAAUAACGUUAAGAUAGUGCACCAUGAGUUCUGUAACCAAUAUCUAUUUUAUUUCUCUGGAUUCUAUAGUUUAAUUCAGUACUUCUUUCAAGUAAUUUAUUAGUAUCAUAAUAUUCUAUUAUUCACACCAUGUCCACGACAAUGUGAAACAAGUGCCAUACAAGUCACACAGAAGCAAAUUACCUCAAGCUACGGUUUCUUCUGGAAAAAUACUUCAGUUAGAAUUGCAUUCGUUGCAAGCACCCUAAUUGCAUUCGUUGCAAGCUUCGAGUGGCUUCAUAUUGGCUUCCUUGAGCUCCUAGGCGACACACUAACUCAUAUGCAGGAAAGGAAAAGAACUAACCUUACAAACCUCAUCAUGCCAAAAAUGAGAGAGAUGACAUGUAAUUACUAUGCAGCGAGCUCCUGCUUUCUCAAGAAAAACCCUUUUUAUAUGCAGAUUCUCCACAAUUAGAGUAUCAUCCAACUGAACACCCCCCACUAUAACCAUUGAGAAAAGGAAAUGAGCUAUCUCAUGUGACAAUAACUCCUUUUCUAACAAAGGAUCUAACGAAGCAAGAUGGGAAGAUCAUUUUCUUCCUCACGCAGUUGAAAUAAUUUUCUCAAAAAAUUCAAAGUAGAACCAACUGAUGUUCCUUCAAUAAUACCAACUGUGUUUGCUAUGUGAUCUUAUGUUCAUAUUGAUGCUGAAUGUUUUGUCAACGUGUCCCUAAUCCGCAUGUGAAUGCAAUGUGCACGUUACAUUGUUUUGGCUAAUGCCUACCGUUUGAUUCUAAACCACAAAAUCAUUAUGUGAACUAGCUCUCGUGGCGCACAUUCUUAGCCCUUAUCAUCAGCAUUGCUCUCCUUAGGCCCCAUAUCUCAGGUUUAAAUCAUGGGAAAUUGAGUGACAAAAAUUAUAACACUCUCUAAACUUUAGUGGAUUGAAGGAACAUGGGAUUCAUGAAUGAACAGUAAUCUCCAUAUUCUCCGUUUCAAAAGGUUUUUCUACGGCUUCCAAUUGUAUUUCAUUGAGAACAAUGAUUUGCAUAACAUAUAUAUGACUCAAUACUAACUAAAUGCCAUUGAUAUAAUUAUAUAAAUCAAUAGUUUCCAUGUAAAAAAUAAGAGAUAGUAGUAAGUGAAAAGACAUUAAAAUAACAUUAAUUGCUUUAAGAAUAAUAUAUGUUCUUAUUAUGAAUCCUAUAUAUAUAUAUAUAGGAUUCAUAAUAAGAACAUAUAUUCAAGAAUUCUCCACUAUUAAACAAGUCUAAAGGGCUAGAAUUUUAGGAACCUGGAAAAUGUUUUGGAAACAUUCCAACACCAAACACAACUACCAAAAAUCAACAUAAAAAACAUAUCACCUAAAAUUAAAAUGAUAUGUUUACCGAUACAACAUAACCAUAUAAGUAUGUUUCAUUAUAUUUUAUCUAAAAUCUACUGAAUCAAAUACAACUAACACUUUUAUCCUAUUAAGUGAACAUAACAGAAACCCGGAAUCAAUUAUUAAGUAACAUAACAGAUGAAUCAGGUCAAAGGCUGGCUUCUGGGGUAAGAAAUGGUAACCAAAGUUGUUGAUAUGCAAAAUGUAAGAGAUCAAGAACUUGAUAGACUCUGUCUUCGAGGCUUCUGUUCUAAAGACUUGGCUUCAGGCUACGACUUCCGAAAAAAGGUGGCCAUACUGACAGAACAAGUGAUCCUUUUGAAGAAUGAACGAGGAGAAAUCAAAGAAAUUGCUGAGAUGGCACCACAAGAUGCAGCGGUUGAAUUAGCUGUUGAGCAAAUAGUUGUUGGUGAAGAAUCAAUACUUGAUCAAGCUUGGAGAUGUACCAAUGAUCAAGAAAAGAAGAGGGGAAUUAUUAGCCUGUACAGUACAGGGUGUCAGCAAAACUACCCUUUUAAAACAAGUCAAUAACAAAUUCUGCAGUCAGCAGCAGCAUCAUCAUUUUGAUGUUGUCCUGUGGGCGGUUGUGUCUAGAGAGCCAAAUCUUGACAAGAUUCAAGAUGCUAUUGGGAAGAGGAUAGCUUUGUCAGCAGAGUCAUGGAAGGAUAAAAGUCUUCAAGACAAGGCUUUGGACAUCUCUAACAUUUUAAGCAGAAAGAAUUUUAUGUGUUAUUGGAUGAUCUAUGGCAGCAAAUUGAUUUAACAUAAUUGGCUAUCCUUCUUCAAAGCCUGAAUAUUUCAUCCAAGGUGGUUUUCACAACUCGCUUUCUUGAUGUUUGUGGUUCAAUGGAACCUGAUGAAAAUAUUGGGGUCAAAUGUUUGGUUCAUGAUGAAGCCUGGAGAUUAUUUUAAGAGAAAGUCGGUAACGCUACUCGUAGAUGUCAUUCUGAUAUUCCUGAGCUAGUACAAACCUUGGCAAGAGAGUGUUGGUUUGCCACUAGCACUGAAAACAAUUGGUUGAGCCAUGUCCUACAAAAAAAAAAACCCGAUGAAUGGAAGUAUGCAGUUAAGGUCUUAAGCACAUCACUUGAAAAUUUUUCAGGUAUGGAAGAAAAUGUGUUUGCACGUUCAAAGUUUAGUUAUGGCAGCCUGCCUAGCUACACAAUUAGAUCGUUUCUUGUAUUGUAGUUUAUUUCCUGAAUAUUAUGAGGUUUAUAAAGGGGAAUUGAUUGAUUAUUGGAUUAGCGAGGCAUUUGUAAUUGAUUUUGAUGAAGGAUCCACUAUUGUCAGUGAUCUUCUUCAUGCAUGUUUACUGGAAAAGGUAAAUGAUAAUCAUGUCAAAUGCAGGAAGUGAUUCGGGAUAUGGCAUUGUAGAUAGCAUGUAAAAUAGAGGAGGAGGGGAACAUUUUGCUUCAUGUAGGAGUUUUAUUAACUGCAGCACCAAAGAUUGAAGAAUGGGAAGAGGUCAAAAGGAUAUCAUUGAUGGAUAAUAAUAUUACGAGUCUAUCAACAAUUCCUAAUUGUCCUUGUCUCCUAACUUUGCUUCUUUACAGAAUCAAAAUUAGUAUGAUCAUUGAUGGCUUCUUCCAAUUUAUGCCUUCUCUCAACGUUUUGAAUUUAGGAUUCUUUAUAUUUCUAACCAAAUUACAUUCUUUAACUGUCAUAAGGGAGUUGCCAGAAGAGAUGAAGGCCUUGGUAAAUCUCAGAUAUUUGAACUUGGAAUAUGUAAUAUAAAAAAAUGACUGCCUGCAACUGCUGCAUAACUUUCUAAAGUUGCAGGCACUCAAAAUGCUGGGUUACAGUAAUUAUAAUGGAGAAGAAGAAGGUAGAGCUUUAUAUGAAGAUGUCGAACUUUCAUAAAUUGCUCUGUUUGGAAAUUUUGAACCUGCUAAGCAUUACCUUCGAUAGUUGCCCUGUUCUUGAAAUUCUUUUGACAUUACAAAAGUUUCUGAUUUGUACAGAAUCUCUAUGGCUUACAAAAAUUUAUACUCUAUUAUCCCUCAAUGUUUUACCUCUAGCAUACAUGAAGCAUCUCAAAAACUUUCUUAUUCAGAACUGUCCUUUUAAAGAGUUGAAGAUUGAAAAUGCAGGAGAGAUACAAAAUUUACUACAAAAUGGUUUUCGCAAUCUUCAAACAAUUUGCAUAUGAUUGUUCAGGUUUUGAAAGAAUUGAUAUGGCUUGUUUUUACUCCAAACCUUAAGAAUAUUGAUGUGCAGAAUUGCAGUAAUAUGGAAGAAAUAAUUAGUUUUGGAAAAUUAAGUUUCAGAGAUAAUGCUAAAGCAGAACUUGCUGGCAGAACUCAAAUUUUUGUGCCUAAAAGGUAUAGGAAACUUAAAGAGCAUCUUCUAGGAUCCCUUAUCUUUUCCAUAGCUGAAGGAAAUUAAAGUAACUAGAUGCCCAAAGCUGAAGAAGCUCCCACUUGAUUCCAGUAGAGCAAUGGUAGGUACAAUUGUUAUCAAGGGAAAGGAAGACCGGCAGGACGAGCUACAAUCCUACCGAGAUAGAGUUUUGAAUAAGAUUUCUGGUAGGAGCGCUUUUUUUUUCCCCAAUUGAUGUAUCUAUUUGUGUGUAACAUGCAAUCUUGUCUUUCAUAUAAGACACUGUAAUGUAGCCAAUUUCUUUUUCCAAUCAAGAUGGAGGGUAAGCCUCAAAAGCAUUGUGAGUUAUCUUUACAAUUUUCAUCCUUUCCUUGUAUGUGAAAAAAGAUAAUAAAGAACAACAAACUAGUAAUGAAGAACAAGAAAAUGGCAAGUUCAAUAUGGUAGAAGUUAAUCGUCCCUUUAACAUUGCUCAAUUAAGUAAGCUUUACCUCAAGUUCUUGAAGAUCUGAAUUAACAACCAAACAACAAAACAUAUAAUUGAUUAUUAAAACCUUUCUGUGAGGCACUAUUAUUCAGGCCUAAAUAAUAACAAUAAAAUACUACACCACAUCUCAUAUGGCUAAUUCUACUCUCUUUUACUUUGUCUUGGUUCUGCAGUAAAAUUCAGUUCUAGUUUGAAGGAAAUUGUUAACAUCAAAACCUACAUACUGUCUGAGCAUAUACUAACAUCAUAUUUCCAGAUACACCUUAACAGAUCAUAUAAGACAAGAAAUGUGAAAGAAAUACAAAAUGAGUCAUAGAAGGAAAUUACUUGCUCUGCACUUUCUCCUGCUAAACCCGGCAGUUAGAAUGCUAAUUGUUUUGAGCACCCGAAUGCUCAAAGGACCCCAGCUUGAAAUGGCUUUGGAUUGGCUUCCUUUAGCUCCAUUGCAACACACACACCUCCAGGAAAGGAACAAACUAAGAAACCUCAUCAUACCAAAUAUGAGAGAUAAAACAAGGCAUUACUCUGUAGCAAGCACAUCAUUUCUCCAGAAAAUUUCAAUUUCUCCACAAGUACUCCACAAUCAGCGUGUGAUUCACGUUUAACACGUUCAGUUUUAUAAUUAAGAGAAUGAAGAGAAUUCCUCUCAUGAGAUGGUAACUCCUUAUUUAAUCCAGGGUCAAAGCAAAGCAAGAAGGGAAGGUAAAUUCAUUAGAUUAAGAAAAUGAAUAGAGCAUUUGAACCAGAACUCUUGUCAAAUUCUUGAAAUUUCCUGCUUUCAUUAAGAGAACUGAAGGAAGAAAGAACGGGGGCAUAGCCAGAACCAGAUUUAAAUUCAAUCGGGUUUUUUGAAGACUUGUAUAACAACAAAGAGAAACUAGUGAACUGACGGAUACUGUCAAGCUUCUACUAAAGAUCCCUUGUACCAAAAACUAACCAAUUUAAGCUAACAAACCUGCAUGAGCAUCUAAAAUUCAAUACCCAUGGAACAGAUCUGCCUUCAACUUCACAUACCAGCUUCUAUUAACCAAUGACCACCAUUAGAAAUAAGGAUUCUUUAUCGUAAAUUCAUAAUCCAUGAAAGAAAUCACCAAAAGGCCUAACCUUCUCUCUGAGUUCCUUCAAGAACCAAAAUCCACCAAAACAAGUGAAUUUCAAACUCUAUCACUCAUCACUCUCUCUUUCUCAGUUGUUUGGGCCUAUGAGGUCAAUUUACAACAUUCAAUCGAUGCUGAAUAUUUUGUCAGCUUGUCCCAAUUCCAGAUGUGAAUGCAAUGUUCACAUUACAUUGUCUUGCCUACCAUUUGAUUUGAACCAUAAAAUUUGUGUAAAGUAGUUCAUGUUUCACACUUUCUUAGCCGUUAUCAUCAGCAUUCAUCUCCCAUAUUCUCAGGUUUAAAUCAUUGGAAACUGAGUGACAAAUAUGAUAAUAGAAUCAAAACUUUAGUGGCACGAAGGAACAUAGAAGCAACAUCGGAUGUUUUAAAUCUGCAGCAUAAUUUCCUUAGAUCCCUAAAAUAGAUUGAAACUUCAAAUGAAAUAAAGUAGCAGGGUAUACAUUGGAAGUCACGUGCUUGAUAUUUAAUGCUGUCAAAAACAAUUUGCAGUAUUGAAAUAGAUGCUCUAAUAAAUUUUCACAGGGAUUUCAAUAUUUGCCGCUAAUCUUCAGUAGUGAAACAGGAUAAAAUCAUAACGUGUCCUAUAACUAGCAGAGGCAAGAAUAUCCUACAGAAAAAGAAAGCCAAAAACUGUUACAAUCUACAGAACGCAAGUAUUCUACUAGCCAACUCCCAUUAAAAUUUGAAGCCCUUCUAAAAUCUCAGCCUAUACUUCCUUCUAUGUACCCCAACUGAAUUUCUCCCAGAAAUCACAUUUCUUCAUCGGCCUCAACUCAUAUAUCUUUUACUUUUAAUCAGAGAUACUUUUUGAUAUGCUUGGCUUUACAACAACGAAUAAUUUUCCUUAAAUAUUUUCUAAUGGACAAGAAAGCACAAAGCACAAAAAUUCCCAUAGUUGGAUAGAUAAAAACAGCUUUUCCUGAAUCUUUGUCACAAGAAAACCUGAACAUCAUCGCUUCUCUUACAAGGCCCCAGAGCAGAAGAAGUGUCCCAAUGAGGCUCAUCCUCCGAGCUCCAAUUAAGGCUCCUGCAACAGACAAAUAGCUUCCUGCAAGAACCUGAUGUUCCCCCAAAAGAAAAAAAAAAUGACAAAAUGAAAUGCAAUGUACUGCUAAGUUCAAGAGAAAAGCUCCUAAAAUAAAAUUUUGGAGUUUCAGUUUGCCUAUGGUUUUAUGACUCUUUUUGUACAAAGAUCAUAUUUGGGCAUAAGGCUCGUAAUGUUCAAAAUAGCAAAUAAUUGAUAUGAAUAUGAUUGUUUAAAAAAAAUAUUUACAAAAACCUCUAGGCGGAGGAGAUUAGUUUUUUGGGAAUUCGUUAGAUUGGUGAAGUUAUAUAGCCGCAGCAAUUUACUGUAGCUUGGAAUGCUUUUGCCCUUCAUUAUGGCACUUGCUAAGGCUCCAGGAUACAGAAGAACCUUGGCUACAAAUUCAGGGAAGACUUCACUUAUAAUCAACUGGAAGCAUGUCACCUCUAUAGGUGUUGUACAUUUUCUACUUCUACAUGGUAUCCUACAAAAACAAAUAAUACAACAUGUAUUAUACAUGUAUUUCAAAAGCAUUUCUAAUGCUGUUAAGUUUAGACAACAAAAUCUCUACAAGACAUCUGGGAUUCCAACUCCUCAUAUACGAAAUGAAUGUCAAAAAGAAAUGUGGGUUGAGUCGGCUUUUAGGUCUUAUUAAUAGAAUUGAAUAAUGCUGCCAUUGAUAGUAAAAUGAAUUUCAUGUGAUAAUUGAUCAUAAAAGUGACGUAAAUAAUGAGAAAUAAUCACCAUUAUUAUAUAAAAUGAGAAAAUAAUUAUGGAAGAAACAGAAAGAAUUACCUGAAAAGAGGGAUUUGGAAGACAAUGAGACAAAAAUAUAAGGAAGAAGAAAUUAAAGAUAUAAGGCUGCCCAUUUCUUUGAUGAACCCAUCAAAAACAACUUGAAACUGUAAAAUGCUGUGAUGGAGGGAAUUGAAAGAUGAAACUGUAAAAUAUGCAAGUUAGUUCAUGGGGCCAUCUUGAUUGAUUGAUUGAUUACGUAGUAACUAACAAGUGUCCGUUAGAUAGUGACAUCAGUUUUCUCUCUUAAAUUAGGAAACUGUUUAUUUGUUUUUUUUCAGUAAUCAGUUUUCUCUCUUAAAAUAGCCAAAAUUUAGGGGCUUAUCCAUAAUUUUAGCCAGUUUUAGAUAGAAACGCACUUGGCUAGCCCUUUUGUAAGUUACACUAUCUAGUGCGGUAGACCCGCAUGUGCUUCACAUUUAUCGAAUAUCUUAUGUGCAUUUUUUUUUUAUAACUCAUUAUAUGUGCUCAUCUUUAUGUGCAUUAUUACCUAAACGUACAUUCCUCAAAAUGAAUUAUAAAGUAUCAAACGCUUUUAAUUAGACCUUAAUUCUAAUGAGCUCAAUUUAUAGUCUUUAGACCCUUAGCGGUGCAAAGUCACAAGCCUUGCCCAGAGUCUAGUGGUAUAGAUUAUGGGCGACAGGUGUCAUCACUCGAAUGAUUGAUGUCGUUGCUCAGGCGAUGGCGCCCAUUGCUCAUGGACGACGACGUACAUUGCUCAGGCAACGAACCAUUUUGCUAGGCCCAUCACCUGGCCGACAGCCCGCGUUACCUGGGCAAUGGCGAAACUCAUCCAACAAACUUUGAGCUCAGGUUUGAUAGCCUAAGAAAAAUAACUACGGUGACCAUCACACAUCCCAUUUUGCUGACAAUUUGUCUUAAUUUUCAUAGAAUGUUGUUGGGUGAAAUUGUUGCUAUUGAUUUUCCAAAACUGGCAUAAUAAUAGCAAAUAAGUACUAAACGAUUAUGGAAUGUUGCUAAAUAAUAACUUAAAAAAAAACACUCUCAGAGGCAAUUUAGCAAACAUCUUUUGCGCCAUGAUUUUAUUCCACUAAUUUUGUAAAUUUGCCCUCCCAUUACAAAUCUGAAUAAUAAUCUACUUUUGUAAAACAUGCACGUACUUGAACCCUUAACUUAAAAAAUAACUAUUUUAUGCCGCAGAAGCAAAUAAAAAAAUCUAUUUGUUUUGGCCCUAUUCACUUUUUCAUUUGUUUUGUCCACUUCCAAAUUCUAGAGAGAAACCAAAAAAAAAUUAAUAAACUUGAUGCCUUGUUCGCCAAAUUUCUCAAUUUUAAAUAAAAUGAGUGUCUUGUAUCAAGAAAAUAAUAAUAAUAAGAAAAUGAGUAUCAUGAUCAUGUGAUAAAAAGAAUGUUUAUUUUAGUUUCCAACCUAGAUCUCAUAAAGAAUUUCACAACCUCAAAUAAAUAAAUAAAUAUUAUCCGGUAAUGGUAUGACAUUUAAUUUGAAGUAAACGCCAGCCCACCAAAUUUCUCAACUGAAGAACAUGUUUUGGCCAAAAUUCAUACUUUUUUCUCCACAUGAUCUAAGAGCACGCAGAAAUCUCCUAAUCUUAACUACGGAUCUUAUUAUGUUCAUUGAAGUCUAAUAUUGUAGACUCAUUGGUGUAGCUAGAAAAUCAUAUCAUUAGAGUAAAAUUUAUAAAUAAUCAAAGAAAAAGGUUCACGCUCUUACUUCUCCACUUUCAUAAUCUUAUUAGUAAUAUCCAUUUAAAUUGAAGAGUAGUAUAUGGUUAUAGAUAUUUUUAUAUUGCUUUUUAAUAAUAGAUUUAAUUUUGAUCUUUUUAAUAUUACAUUGCAUAUUUAGACUGAAUUAGAUUAAAUUUCAAAUUAGAUCAUAGAACUUAUUUGAAUAGAUUCAAUUGGAUUUUGAACAUCUAUCAAACAACCAGACUAAUAAAUUGCAAAGGAAUGAGAUUUGCGUAUGUGAUUUUAAAAUAAAAUUGGAACUUGAAUUUAUGCAUUUAAUUAAUCCAACAAGACAAAUUUGUAAUUUCAGCUAACCAGAUAGAAUAUGCUAUCUGAAAUUUUGGACCGAGUGGGGACAGUUUAUCACGCAGUGGCGAUGCUACUACUUAUAGUCCAUUCUUAUUCAACUUUCAGAUAUUUUAUAUUAUAUGCAAAUUAAAUCAUAUUCUAAAAAGUGUUUCUAAUUGUUUAACAUUUUAUUUCUGGAUAAUUUUAAGACAUUAAAAAAAUAUGGAAAACAUAAUCAAUUUUAUCAAAUAAAAAGGAGCUUUGGUCUUUUUUUUAAUAAAAAAUGUGUUCAAAUACUCUUGGUAUUUAAGAAGUUACAAUUUCUUUUUGGUUCAUAAAAACGCAUUUUAAAAUUAUGUAAAAUGAAAUUAAAGAUUAACGAAACUGACGUUUGAAUUUCGUAUAAAUUAUGAUAAGUUUAUCUUCAGCAUUAAUGACAUUACAGCGUGGCCAGCAUCAUCAUCCUUUAUCUCCAGCAUCAAAAGUCUGAUAACAUCAACAUCAUAAUCCCUAGGUUGUCAAACUGAUCGUCUCAAAAUGUCAUUAUAGCGUGCUACCAUCAUCUUUACUUUCAGCAUCAAAAUUCUUCUAUUAAAUACUCUUUUUAUUUUUUACAAUUCUUAUCAGAUUAAAUUUUUUUUGCUAUUUGCGUUCUUUAAUUAAUUAAAAAUCUUAUCUCACCUCUCCUUUAAUAAUAGUACUAUAUGAUUAUGAUUUAAUUAUUUUUAUUUUUAAUUAAUUAAACAUCGGUCAUUUAAAUUUAACUCAAGAAAAAAAUCAAAUCACCAAAGAAUUUUAAUUCGUUCUUAUUAAGUACUACAAUAAACUUUUCCCCAUGAUAAUUUAUUAAGCAAACCAUAAUGAUCAUCUUACACUGAAGGACCAACCCAUCUUCAAAACACGAAGAAUUUAAUACGACUAAUUAUCUCAAUAAAGUUCAAUAAAAAAAGAAACAGAUAUUUUUAUUAUUUCUUUUUCUUUCUUUUAUUUUUAGUUUCUUGCCUCUUGAGCCUUUCCAAGAACCAACCGAAGUACUUAUCAAAAAAACAAAAAAAAAAACAACCAAAGUACAAGAGAAAAAACAAUAAAAUAAUUCACAGUUACAUGUAGCUUCACACAUCCCUAUACCAUAUGCGUCCAAAAUUCAUCUCCAAUAGUUGCCCAAAUGUAACCACCAGUUUGUACUUGCAUAUAUAUACGUAUAUAUAUAGGAUUCCCUCGCAUGUAGCUUAACAUUAGCUAUAUAUAUAUCUGUAUAUAUUCCCCGGUAAAAAUGUGGAGCAACCUUCAUUUUAAUGUUCUAGCCAACAUCUUCUCCUUCCUUUCUCCACACUCCUUGACACGUGUCAAAUCAGUCUGCCGCCAUUGGCACACGUGUGCCAAGCUUUACCACCUUCGCUCCGGGUCCCAACACCGGCGGCUGGCAUGGUUCUUGGCUUUGCCUACACGUAACCGUGGCCUGUGUUGCUACAUUCACAACCCAGUUGUCGACAAGCAAGUGACAAUUUGCUUCUACCAAUGACUUCAGAUCUCAAACCUAUUUCAGGCAAGGCCAGCAAUGACAUCAUGUUCAAAACAGUUUAGCCAGACACACCUGUUCAGACCCCUCUACUACAUAUAACCUAGAGGUACAUUUUUUCUUUACAUUCUUUCUAUACGAUUGGCAUUAGGCUUAUCAAGUCCAAUAAGAUAUUUCACAAAACUUAUACUAACUUAUUCCUAAUUAUAGUGGACACAAUUAACUUACUUUGGCAACUGUUCUGAAGAGAAUGACUUCUUCAGGAUGACAUCAAUUACCAGCGAUGAUACUAUCAGUAAGCUACUUCUGCUAUCUACUAAAUAUUACUGCUACACGUAAUAUUGACAAUUCGUUUGUGUGCAGGCCUGUGAUAACCACUUGGAUCGGAUAAAGGACUGGGACAUCAACAAUUUGCCCAGAAACCAAUAAGAUAUCAUUGUAAAACAAUGAUUGGCAUUAGGCUUAUCAAGUUCAAUACAAUAUUUCACAAAACUUAUACCAACUUAUUCCUGAUUAUAGUGAACACAAUUAACUUACUUUGGCAACUGUUCUGAAGAGGCUGACAUCAACUACCAGUGAUGACACUAUCAGUAAGAUGCUUCUGCUAUCUACUAAAUAUUACUUACUUUGGCAAUACUGUUCUGAAAAGGAUAACAUCAACUACUAGUGAUGACACUAUCAGUAAGCUGCUUCUGCUAUCUACUGAAUAUUAGUACUUAAUAUAGUAUUGACAAUUCUUUUGUGUGCAGGCCUGUGAUAACCAUUUAGAUCGACCGGAUAAAGGACUUGGACAUCAACAAUUUGCCCAAAAACCAAUAAGAUAUCAUUGUAAUGCUUAAUUAUAUAUGUAUUAGUUUCCCUUUGAAUGGUGCUCUAUUAUGAUGAUUCUUUCCUCUAUGACUCUUAAAUAAGCAACGUAUUGCCCUUUUGUUAUGCAAAAGUAUGGCAUGUUAAGCAGACGGGAACAACAUGUGGGCUAUGUACACCAUUACCUUAAACGAAGCAAAAUUAUCUUGUGCUUAUCAAAGUUUGAAACUAAUUCUGUGCUUACCAAGAAUGUAUGAAUAACACAUUAUACUCAUACACCAAACUUUAAUCUGAAUGAAUCAAGUAAUUCUAUGUUAAUCAAAGUUUUUAGACUUAUACGACGAGGUCAAGUUUAUAUAAAAGCAAAUAACACUGAAAUCUAAUCAUCCUUUACAAACAAAUGUGAUUUAUUCAAUUAUCGCAAACAAUAGUUUUAUCGGAGUUAAUUACAUUAUUGGUAAACUUGUAUAUGCUUUCCUGUUUCAAACAUAUCUACUUAAUUACAUUAUUCAUCGACAAUGUUACUUUGCUUGUAGAAGUUUCAUUUUUUCAUACCUUAAUCACUAUUUAACGCUUCGUUUUCCAAUAGUUCUAAUUCUUCAAAUUUUGGUUUUAUUCUUCCAUAAUUAUAAAUUGAUACUAAUUCGCACGACUCAAAUUAAAGUGGUUAAUUACUCUAAAAGUAUAAAUAUGGCAGUCAAUAAUUACAUAAAAUAAUUGCAAAAAAAAAAAAGUUGAUAAGGAAUAGUAUAAAUUUAAAAUCCGCUAAGGUUAUGAGAUCCAAGCUUGAUAUUUAAAUCAUGGCCAUAACAUUUAUAUAUAUACACUUGUUUCAAUAUAAUGUGACUUAGUUCUUAAUUAACCACUCAAUGAAGAAAAAUGAGAAUUAAGUAUAUAUUAUGCCACAACUUUAUUGGAGUGUUCCCACUACCAUAUUAGUAGUCAACAUUAGGUCUAAACUCCCACAUAAAUUAACCACUACAUGAAUAAACAAGGGGAUGAAGUACAUAAUUGCCACGGCCAUAUUGGAAUGUUUCCACUACCAUAUUCACAUGUCAAUGUUUUGUCUAAACAUUUAUAUACAUCCAAGGAAAUUUAGAUCUAUAAAUAAAUAUAAAAUAUGGAAUGAAAAUAAUUGGUAGAAAAUAUAAAUUACAAACAAUAAACUUAAAAUUCACUUGAGAAAGUAAUUAAAUCAACAAUUUGAAUCCUUGAACUUACCCAUCACCUUAGCUUAGAAAAUUAGUCACUCAUAUUAGUAAACAAAACACUCAUUUUAUUUAAUAAAUUUGUAAAAGUAUAAUACAAGAAAAUUUUAAAUAAAGAAGAGAAAAAAAAAUCUCUUCUUAUUAACAACACUUCUUCAUAAAAUUCACUCUAAAUUUAUACUAAAUUUCACUAGGAAAUUCACCUCUAAAAUUCUACACACGGAAUUAUCAAAUCUCUUGCCUUUAUAUAGGCAAAUUCUAGGUUGAUCAAGUGUGGGCAUUUACAUGAUAUUUUUGGUGAACUUGCAACCACAACCUUUAAAUGACAUUUGAUAAUACAAAUACAAUCCAAGGGGUCCAAAAUUGCAAGUAUCGUCAUGCAUUAUAAAACGGUUGAUUCAACAUAAUCAAUGGCUAUAAUGAAAUCAAAUCGGGAUCCUCCAUUGGAUUUUUUGUUUUUUAAUUCAAAGUGGUUGAACCACUAAAUUGAUAAGUAUUAGAUCUAGUGUAAAGAGGUGCAUGUAAGCUUAGACACAAGGCAUGAUACCUAGCCUUUCAGAAUUAAUAUUAAAUAAAACGGCUACCUAUUCUUCCAAAAGUUAAAAUUAUAAUUUUUACUUUUAUUUAAUUAAUUUAUACUUUCUAAUAUUAAUCAUUGAUGAACAAUUUUUUAUUUCAUCACCGUCUAGAUUGCUUUUAUCUUACACAAAUUUGUUUUAAACCUUUAAAUAGUGGAUUUCUUUAUGAUAAUGUAUGUAUUUUUACAGCAUUGAUAGUGGGAUUAAUGUGAACCAUUAGUUUUAAGUAUUUUAAUCUCAAUCGUCCAUUUAAUAUAAUGGAUAAUUAAAUAAUUAAUGAAAAUGUAGCAUGUAAUUUACAAGUUGCUGGUAAUUAUUUGUUUUUUAAUUUUAAAUUAAUAUUAAUUUGAGAAAAAGCCACACACACCUCAAUGUUUGCUCAAAUAGUCAUAUAGAUCCACUUAGUUUCGUAAAUGGUAAUAAAGACCCCUUAAUUUUCAUAAAUGACUAUUAUACGUUUUGAUUUAAACAACCUAAAUAAAUAUACAUAUAGUAGUAGGAUAAAAAUAAUAAUAAAUAUCAUAUGAUACAAAUAAAAUAUUAAAAUAAGUAUAAUUAAUAAAAAUAACUUGUAUAAUGAAUUUUUUUAAUAUUAAGUUAUUAUUAAUCUAUCCCGAUGGAUUUAUUAAAAUCUACUAAUCCAAAAAUUGACUUUAAGAUAGAUAUUAAUACAGAUAUAAUUAGAAAAGAUAUUGUAAAUAAAACACUAUAAAUUAUUAUAAAUUGUUGUGAGUGUUAGGUAUAACUAUUUCAAUAUUCUAUAUCACACAUCAUACUUAAGAUGUUGAUUUUGUUGAAGUGUUAUGUUAUUAAACAUUAAGCUUUGCAUUUAUAAUGUGCCACAACUUUAAUGUAAAAUUUAAUAAAAAAUAUAAAGACAUUUUUUAGUAGUCAAUUGUAUUGUAAUAUGAUCAAAUUACGACAGAAUUAUCAUAUUUUCACUAUUGAAUAUGCAUAUUAUUCUUAUUGAAUACAAAGGUGCAUCGUUACGAGUAGCACAAUUUCAUCAUCAUCAUCAUCUUGCAUCCAUUUAAAAAAAAAAAUGGAAAUAUAGACCUUAAAUAAGCUAAUGGAGGAAGACCAACAGUCCUGAAAAGUUGUUCCAUAAAUUUAAGCCUACGAUAAUACUUAUUUCUAAACUGACACUUCAAGUAACUUAGGGCAUGUUCAGUAUCAUUUUGUAGCCCUUAUUUUCAUUUUUAUUUUAAUAGUACAAGUGUAAUAUAUGUUUGGCGAGCCUAAAUCUUAAAUCAAAUUAUAAAAUGUGUUAAACAUAAUCUAUUUGACAAUAAUAAAAGUUAAAAUAUGUUAAACACGUUUUUUGUAAAUUAUAAAAAAAAUUAUAAAAUAAUAUACUACACAUCCUCCAAAGCAUAGCAAAUAAAAUAUAUUUUACAAACACUACUAUAGAAAGACAUAUAAGACCUAUUUAAGUUAGUAGAGGUGAUUUUUCUUUUAGUCAUUAAGACAUAUGAAUUAAUAUGCACACACACACACACACACAUAUUGAGUACUUCUAUCUACCCCUAUUUACUAAUGGAAGGGAAAUUAAAAUCGUAAUUACCCUGAUAUAUUAUGAAUUGAUAUGUCACAUAUAAAUAUCAUUGAAAAUUAAUUUUAGAUUAAUGAAGUAAACCAUAUAUAGGCAUUUAAUUAAUCUAAGGUCAAAUGAAAUAUAUCACAUGACAUUUCAUGUAGUAGUCCAAUUUUUAACACUUGCAUAUAGUUUUGUAAGCUAAUAAGCCAAUGAAAUAUACCACAUGAGAAAUUAAAGGGCUAUUAUUUAUAUUUCACUAUUGGGCAAAUAUGGAUCUUCCAAUUCUCUUCUAUGGCCAUAAAUUAGAAUAAAAAAAUCACAUAGUAGAGACUACAUCUGUUUGCAUGCUCUCAAAAUAGAUUUUGAAAUUAGUUUUGAAUGCUUUCAAAAUAAAUUUUGAAAUUAGUUUGGUUACAUGAUAAUCAAAUUAUCUUAUAACAUUAAUGAUAUAAUUUAAGCACUAUUUUAACAUUUGUGAGUUUUACAUUAAAUCUUCAAAUUAAUUACAUAUUGUCACUCUUUCUUGUUUUGCUUGAAAUUCCUAUUUAAUAAAAUUACGAAAAGUUGAUAAUGAAUGGUUUAAGAUACAUAGGUAAGAUAAACUUUAAAAGUCUAAUGAAACAUUCCUAUGAAUGUUAGUUUCGUAUGCAUGUUCAUAUAUUUCAUUGAAAUCAUAUAUUCUAUUGAAUUUUGUGUUAUUAAAUGAAAUAUGUUAUUCAAGUGAAAAAUGUGAGAAUAUUUAAAACUGUAGGGAUGGUCAUUGAAAUUUCUCAUAUUUCUACCAACUCCACAAUCCAAUAGUUCAUCCCUUUGUUAACCGGUUAUGUUAUUUUAAAAAUAAUUAAUAAAUUUUAUUAAUAAAUAUAAUGUAUACUGUUAAUUAAAUCAAAUAAUUAAUAUUACUUACACUAUUGAUGCCGUAAACAUAGAGGUACCUUUAAAUAGUUUCUAACCAUUAUAUAAUUUUAUCUAUCCUUAUUUUUACCUCUUCUUAACUGACUUCACCAAUAUAUUUUUAAAAGAAACGUGGCCAUCUGUUACCCGUUGGAUCACCUGCUUUUAAAUCAAAUAAUUACAUGAGAUAAAGACAAAACGCACACUAUAGUGUUACAGUUACAACAUAGAUAUGGCUGUAGAGGCGCAAAAAAAAAAUCUAUUUGUUUAGUCACUGUACCCUUUUUCAUUCAUUUCGUCCACUUCCAAAUCCUCGAGAGAAACAAGACAAAUAAAAAUGAUUUUAAGAAAUUUCGUCCACUUCCAACUUUAAAUAAAAUAAAUAAAUAAUAUCUGGUAAUGAUAUGACAAUUACAUAAGAGAAAACACUGCCUACCAAUUUUCUUCUCAGGCAGCGCCUAUGUCACAUUCGAGUCAAUUAAAAUCGUAUUAAAACUCUUUUUUUAAUUAUAUUUUAUAUAAUAUUAAAAAUAUUCUUUUUUAAAUAAAUAUUUUUUUUAUUUAUGAUUUUUUUUAAUUUUUAAUAGUUUUCUCACUCUUUUAGUCUUAAUAUUUAUAUUCUUCUCUUUAAAUUUUUUUACUAUUUAAUUUCUAAAGAAAAAAAUCUAAAAAAAAUGAGAAAAACUUUAUACUUAGAAAAUAAUGAAUAUUUUAUGGGUUUAAUAUAAUUUUAUCCUACCUAUAAAUUUUGGGUUCAUUGAGUUUAGCAAUUAGUUUGAGAAUCCUUAAAAAAUUAGUUGUAAAGGGAUAAAAUUUUAUUUAAUUUAUUUUUUCCUACGUUGUAUCUUAAUUAAGUUGUUAUAUUUAUUAUAAAAAUUUUGUUUUGGCUUAGAGGAUUACUUCUUAAAUUCAAAUUAUUUUAGUGAUAACAAAAAAAUUUAUAUUGUGCAAGUAAAAUAAAAUUCAAAAGAGAAAGAAAAUAUAAAUAAUUUAUAUUUAUUCUUAAAUAUAAUUGUAAUAUAAUAAAAUUUUUAUGAAAUUAAUGAAGGAAUUCAUUUUAUUUUUUGUAAUAAACUAUUUUUUUAAAAGAAGAAAUGCUUUUAUUAAACCAAUUGGGUGAUUACAUUUAUGAUUUAUGGGGGAAAAGAUUCCCUCCAGACACAAUCAUCACUGCAUGCUAAUGCUAUAUUGGCUAUAGCAUGUGCACUUGCAUUACAUUCCCUUGGGAUGUGCUGGAUUACUGUGCCGGAUUACAAUCAUACUGUCUCCUCUUACGCAGCACCAAAUCAACCACCUCUUUUUUAAUCCGAUUCGACAGUCAAAGGGUCCAUCCUGCAUCUUUGGCCACCUCGAUUCCCAUGUUAAUAGUGAAACAAACAAUUUGUAAAAGUAUAAUACAAGAAAAUUAGCCAUUUUGGCUUAGAAAAUUAGCCACUUUGACUUCACUCAUCACCUUGGCUUAGAAAAUUAGCCAUUCAUAUUAGUAAAUAAAACAUUCAUUUUAUUUAAUAAAUUUGUAAAAAUAUAAUAUAAGAAAAUUUAAAAUAAAGAAGAAGAGAAAAAAAAAAAAAGAAAUCUCUUCUUAUUAACUACACUUCUCCAUAAAAUUCACUCUAGAUUUACUCUAAAAUUUUCUAGGAAACUCACCUCUAAAAUUCUACACAUCGAAUCAUCAAAUCUCUUGCCUCUAUAUAGGCAAAUUCUAGGUUGAUCAAAUGUGGGCAUUUACAUGAUAUUUUUGGUGAACUUGCAACCACAACCUUUAAAUGGCCUUUGAUAAUACAAAUACAAUCCGAGGGUCUAAAAUUGCAAGUAUUGUCAUGCAUUAUAAAAUAGUUGAUUCAACAUAAUGAAUGACUACAAUGAAGUCAAAUCGGGAUCCUUCAUUGAAUUUUUUUUUUAAUUCAAGGUGAUUAAACCACUAAAUUGCUAAGUAUUAAAUUUAGUGUAAAGAGGUGCAUGUGAGCUUAGACUCACGGCACGAUGAAACAGCUACCAAUUCUUCCAAACGUUAAAAUUAUAAUUUUUACACUAAUGGUAACCAUUGAUGAAUAAUUUUGUAUUUCAUCGCCGUCUAGAUUGCAUUUAUCUUACACAAAUAUGUCUUAAACCUUUAAAUAGAUUCUAACCACUAUAUAAUUUUUUCUGUCCUUAAUUUUAAUAGAAACGUGGCCAUCUAUUGCUCGUUGGAUCACUUACUUUUAAAUUCAAUAAUUACAUGAGAUAAAAGAUAAAACGCGUGCUAUAGUGUCACCGUUACAACAUAGACGUGGCCGUGGAGGCACAGAAAAAUCGAUUUGCUUUGUCACUGUACGCUUUGUCAUUUAUUUUGUCCACUUCCACAUCCUCGAGAGAAACAACACAAAUAAAAAAGAUUUUAAAAAAUUUUGAUGCCUUGUUCGCCGAAUCUCUCCACUUUUAAAUAAAUUGAUUGUCGUGAUCCUGAAUUGAUCAUGUGAUGCUGAGCGCAUCUCAUGAAGAAUUUAUAAACCUCAAAUAAAUAAAUAAAUAAUAUCUGACAAUGGCAUGGCACUUACUCUGGAGUAAACACGGCCCACUAAGUUUCUCAGGCAGCGCCUAUAUUACAUUUUCUGUAACAAACAAUUGAAGAAUAUGUUUUGGCCCACAUUCAUAAGUUUCUCCAUAUGUUUUAAAACCAACCCCCUCCUGGCCUCCUUUAUGGACUCCACUUUUAAGAAGUGUGUUACCCACCAUCACCAAGUAAACAAAAAAAAACCUCUUUCCCCUUCUGCUUUCAUUCUCAAUCUCUUUGUCACUUUGUUUUUCCUUUUCUCUAUAUAUGAUAUUUAAUAACUAUUAAAUGCUUGUUUCGAAGGGUUUCCUUUUCUCUAUAUAUGAUAUUUAAUAACUAUUAACCCAGUUUUCACCUACAUCCAUAGUCACAUUUCAAUUAACACCUUACAUAUUUAAUAUUAUUUUUAUUCUAUUUUACACCUGUAUCAUAAUACCCCUCUUUAUUAUUCUGAAAUUGAAUAAUAGUCAUGUUUAAUUUAGAACCUUACACUCUUUUUUUAAAAAAAAAAUUAUUAGGAUAUUUUUUAAAUAUACUAUCAAAUUUCAUGUAACACUUUACACUCUUUUUAUUAUAAAUUUUUUAAUAAAUAUUAUCUAUAGUACUUUUUACUUACAUGUAUAACGAAUUAUGUAAUCCCAAUAGUUCAAAAAGUAUUAUAAUUUUUAUUACUCUUAUUUUUAUCAUGUUAUUUAUUUUAAGUAUUCUUAUUUUAUGGGUGCAUUCGGUACGUCAUUAUUUGUUGUAUUAAGUUAUAUUGCGUUAUUUUCUAUUACAUUAGGCUGUUUUAAACUAUAAUUUAGUAUAAAAAAAAUUAUCUUUCAUGUAUAGGAAUAAAAAUUUUUAAUAAUAUAAUGUCAGUCCAUGCUACAUAAAAUUAAUUCAAUACCUAUUUGGAUACGAUGAAUUAUUAUUUACAACAGCGAAUCAAAGGGUUAAAUAACAAUGAUAAAAAUAAAAGUAUGAAAAAUUAUAAUAUUUUUAUAAUGGAACUAUUUGAAUUGCAUAAUUUAUUGUGAAUCUUAGAAAACAGUAUCGUAAUAUUUAUAAAAAAACUUAAAAUAAAAAGAGUAUCAAGUGUUAAAUGAAAUUUGAUAGUGAAUGUAAAAAAAACCUAAUAUUUUAAAAAAAUAUAAUUAAAAAGGAGUGUAAGUUUUUAAAUUAAACAUGCUAAUUAUUCAAUUUCAAAAUAGUAAAGAGGUCCAUAAAAAAAAAAAGUUAAAGACAGGCAUUGUGAUAUAAGUGAAUAUUAGAUAAAAAAUUUAUAAAUAUGAUAUAGUAUAAGGUGCUAACAAAAAUGUACCUAUAGAUGUAGGUGGAAAUUAGUUUAAUACUUAUGAAACAAAUGUUAAAUAAAAAUAAAUGGAGGGUUUGUAUAGAUAUUUCUCAAAAAGACAAAAGAAGUGGUAUGACACCACUAGGGCAACGUAGCUGGACUCCAUUUAGAAUAGUUUAUUUGAUGAUUAUAAAUAUUUCUUUGAUUUUAUAAAUUGUUUUUAAAUUUUUUAUUUAUUUAGUUAUUUUUAAUAAAAUUUUAAAAAAUUAAAUAAAUUAUUUUACCUCUAUUAAUAAAAAUUUAAAUUUUAAAUUUUUUAAAAUAAAGAUUCAAAAUUUUUUAAGAUAUUAAAAUUUUUAAAAUAUAUUUUAGAUACUUAACAAUCUUAUUUUAUUUUUAUUAAAUAAUUUUAAAAAUUUUAUUUAAUAAAAUAAUUUUAUAAUUUUUAAUAAAAGUCUCAUUAAAAAUUAAAAAAUUAAUUUAUAAAAAUUUUAGGGUCUGCUUAAGUUACGUUUAAUGUAACUUACGGCUUGGCCCUAAAAUUUUAUUCAGCCCCCUAUACUCUAUGUUAUUUAUAAUUUAUUUGUGAAUAUUAUAAAAUUUUUUAGAUUAUAAAAUUUCGUCUAACCCCUUACACUCAAUUUUAUUUUAUUGAAAUCUUAGAAUACGAAUUUGCCCCCUAUAAUUUUAAAUUUCUAAAAUAACCUCCAUUUAAUUAAAAAAUAUAAUUAUUAUUAAAUGAAUUAUAAUUAUAAUUAUUAUUUUAUUAUAAUAAUAAAUAUAAUUAUAUUUUUUAACAAUAUAAAGAGAAGAUUGAUGGAGAACUUUAAACAAUUUGACGUAUUCACAUUAUUUAUAUGUAUAUGCGAGUUAGACAUUAUUUAUUUAUUACAUUCUUUUUGUGAAUUAUAAAUCAUAAGGAAACGAUUUUGAGGGAGCAAUUAGAGUCACAAAUCCCUACUAUUUCUUUUAUGUAAUAGAAUUCGUGGAGCCAAUUAACGGUUGCAAAAAAAGCCCCAUGAUGCUAAGAGUUUCAGUGAGUGUAUUUAUAGUAACUCCCCUAAUGACUUACUUUUUAAUUGUUAUGCAACAAUAUCAAUAUUUUUGUGAAUGAAGCUCACACCAAUUUCCAUUGCCACUUUUGGUGUUGUCUAAACAUUUUGGCAUGGCACCAUUAAUAGAACAUCCAAGCAAAAAAAUACCAAAAGUUCUGUGAUUAAGAGAAAAUUAAUUGCAAUUAAUGGAAGUUAUUGGAGAAAGUGGUGCAUUAUUGGAGAACUUUAAACAAAUUAAUCGCAUAAUGUGAAUAUGUCAAAUCAUUAAUUUUUAAAUGGAUGGUUAUAUAUUUUUUUAAAUAUAAUCUUUUAUUUAAAAAAUAUAAUUAUAUUUAUGAUUAUAAUAAAAUAAUAAUUAUAAUUAUGAUUUAUUUAAUAAUUAUUAUAUUUUUAAUUAAAUAGAAUUUAUUUUAAAAAUUUAAAAUUAUAGGAGGUGAAUUUAUAUUUCAAAAUUUCAAUAAAAUAAAAUUAAAUGUAAAGAGUUAAAUAAAAUUUUAUAAUUUAAAAAUUUUUAUAAUAUUUAUGAAUAAAUUAUAAAUAAUAUAAAAUAUAGGGACUGAAUAAAAUUUUAGGACCUAACGAAUAAGUUACGUUAAACAUAACUUAAGUGGACUAAAAUUUUAUUAAUAAAAAACUUUUUUAAAUAAAUUUUAUUUUAAAAAUUAUACUAUAAGACAAAAACCCUGCACUUACCAACCCGUACUGAUUAAAACCCCUCACCAACGCGUCUGCUCUCACCAUCAAUGCUGUCAGUGAAUAAGCACAUCACACCUUAAUAAUGACAGCUGGGUGUUAUCAUUUCGGUCAAAAAGGUAGACCCCCAAAAACAAUGAUAAUAAUUAACAGUCAUAAAUAAAAAAUAAUAUUGGGUAUGUUACCAUUUUGGUCAAAAAGAUGAUUUCGCCAAAAAGAUAAUUUUGGAUCUGUAAUACGAUUUUCGCCAAAAAGAUAAUUUUGCCGCUAAUUAUUUGGGUAGUCAGAUAAUAAUAACAAAACAUGUUAUCUUUCGCCUAUAACUUGAGGAGAUAAUAAGAGUUUUUCAUUAUACUCUACUGUUAGUUUCUCUUCUUCGUUUUUUUUUCUCCCUUUUGAAGUCUUUCAACAAAAAUGGGUGGCAUCAUCUCAACCUUCUUCUCAGCGGACACAAUCCGUCCAAUUUUAUUUUACGUUGGUGGACAAGCAAAGUAUAUAUGGGGUCUUAAAGGCAAUCUCGAUGACUUGCAGACUCAAAAGGAGAACUUGAUUGCGAAAAAACAAGAUCUGCUGAAUAAGGUUAAGCUUGCCGAGCAAAAACCCCGAAUCAGACGGACAACGACGGUGGAACUUUGGUUUAAAAGGGUGGAUGAAAUGGAAACUGAAGUUGAGAAUCUGCAAAAAGAAAGAGGUCAAGAGAUUGACAGAUUGUGUCUUGGAGGCUUCUGUUCCACGGACUUGAUUUCAAGCUACGACUUCGGCAAAAAGGUGGAGAACUUGAGAGAAAAAGUGAUCGAACUGAAGAAAGAGGGGGAAGCAAUGAAAGAAGUUUAUGAGGGGGUACCAGAAGGUGCAGCGGUUGAAAAAGCUGUUGACCGAACAAUCGUUGGUCAAGAAUCCAUACUUGACCGAGUGUGGAAAUGCAUCACAGAUCAAGAAAAGAAUAAGGGAAUUAUUGGCUUAUAUGGUAUGGGGGGCAUCGGCAAAACUACUCUGUUAUCACAAGUCAAUAACAAAUUCUGCAGUGAGGAGCAUGAUUUUGAUGUCGUUAUCUGGUCGGUUGUAUCUAGAGAGCCAAACAUGAAGCAGAUUCAAGAGGAUAUUGGGAAAAGGAUAGGCUUCUCAACAGAUUCAUGGCAGGGAAAAAGUUUUGAAGAAAGGGCUUCAGACAUCACCAACUCCUUAAAGCAUAAGAAGUUUGUAUUGUUAUUGGAUGAUAUAUGGGAGUCCGAAAUUGAUUUAACCAAAUUGGGCGUCCCUCUUCAGACACUAGAUUCUGGGUCCAGAAUAGUCUUCACAACUCGUUUUGAGGGUACUUGUGGUAAAAUGGGAGCCCAUAAGAAUCGGUACAAAGUGUUUUGUUUGGGAGAUGACGAUGCCUGGAAAUUAUUUGAGGGGGUGGUCGGGAGAUACGUUCUUAACAAGCAUCCCGACAUUCCGAAGUUAGCCGAGGAUGUGGCACGUCAGUGUCAUGGUUUGCCGCUAGCACUCAAAACAGUAGGUAAUGCCAUGGCCAGCAAAGUGUACCCUGAAGAAUGGAAAGAAGCAAUUGAGAUCCUAAGCGCAUCAGCUUCUAAAUUCGAAGAUAUGGAGAAAAAAGUGCUUUCGAGCUUAAAGUUCAGCUAUGAUAGUUUGCCGAAAGAUGAACUUCGAUCUUGUCUCCUGUACUGUUGCUUAUUUCCCGAAGACUCUGAAAUUCUAAAAACCGAGUUGAUAGAGUAUUGGAAAAGUGAAGGAUUUGUGGAUUCUAGCAGCGGGUGGGGGGUUCUUGGUGCUCUCGCUCGUGCAUGCUUAUUGGAGGAAGGAGGUGAUGAUGUAAAAAUGCACGAUAUGAUCCGUGACAUGGCAUUAUGGAUAGCAAAUGAAAUAGAGGAGGAGAAGUUUUUGGUUCGUGCAGGAGUUGGAUUAACUGACGCCCCAAAGAUUGAAGAAUGGGAAGGGGUCAAAAGGAUAUCCUUGACGGAGAACAAAAUUCAAAGUCUACCACAAAUUCCCAAUUGUCCGCGUCUCCAGACUUUGCUUCUAGCGGAUAAUCAUAUUAAGGAGAUCACUGAGAGUUUCUUUCAAUCUUUACCUUCGCUUAGAGUUUUAAAUCUAAGUGAGAAUGAUUCCCUGACUCAACUUCCUGUGGGGAUUUCAAGUCUGGUUUCAUUACACCAUCUUGAUCUGUCUUUUACUGGAGUACGUGGGUUGCCGCAAGAGCUCAAGGCAUUGGUGAAUCUGAGAUAUUUGAACUUGGAUUGUACAUAUGAAAUGUGUAAAAUUCCACAGCAAUUGAUAUCCAGCUUUUCGAAGUUACAGGUACUCAGGAUGCUGCAUUGCGGUUCUGCUCACCGGCCAAUAGUGGAAGAAGGCAACGUUCUAUCCGAUGAUGCUGAAUCAUUGAUGAAGGAAAUCCACUGUUUGGAACAUUUAAAUCUCAUCACCUUGUCCUUACAUGGUUCGCGUGGUGUUGAAAACUUUCUGAAAUUCCCAAAGCUGCAGAAUAUCACUCGAGCUCUGACCAUCGAAGACUGCAACAGUCUACCGCUCAAUUUGUUGCAUCUAGCAAACAUGGAGCAUCUAGAGCAGUUAUUUAUCUGGGAAAGUAAUUUGGAAGACUGGAAUGUCGACUUCGCGGGAGAGGUACAAAAAAUGCGUAAACUUCACUCGGUUCUCAUACGGAAUUGCUCAAAUGUGAAGGACUUGACGUGGCUUGUUUUUGUUCCAAAUCUCAAGUGGCUGCGAAUAGUUGGUUGUGAUGACAUGGAAGAAAUAAUCAGUGUUGAAAAAUUUGAAAAAUUGAGUGAAGUUUCAGAGAUGAUGGGAGAGCUUAACUUGUUCUCAGAACUCGAACUUCUGGUAAUAAGAAAAGCAAGUAAUUUGGAGCGCAUCUACCGCGAUCCCUUGCCCUUUCCACAGCUGAACCGAAUUAGCAUAUUGAAAUGCCCAAAGUUGAAGAAGCUCCCACUCAAUUCCAGCAGCGCAAAGGGACGUAAAAUUGCCCUUGCGGGACAGAAAGAAUGGUGGGAAGAGCUACAAUGGGAGGAUCAAGCCACUCAAAAUGCUCUCUCUCCCUGUUUCCGACCUAUUGAAGAAUAAAGUGCGAUAAGGCACAAAAGUGUGAAUAAAGUUUCUGCGUGUGCUUAAUGAUUAUCUUGUCUAUCUAUUUCAUUUAAUUUAAAAGCUUUCAACGGUGUUGCGUGUGUGUCACUUGUCAUUCUUCUGUACUGCUGUUUCCUAUUUCCAGUUAAUAAAACUUUUUCCUAUUAAUAUAUUCUAUUUACUUUCCUA